UUUUUUUUUUUUUUUUUUUUGGUUCGUAAAUUUAAUCAAGUUUGGAAGUUGCAGAUUCUCAUACCAUCCCUGUAACAAAUUAACAACCACACCACACCACACCCCUCACAGAUUCCUCUCUCUUUCACUCUCUCUCUCUCUCUAUAUGUAUAUAUAUAUAUAUAUAUAUAUAUACACUAACAAAAACACAAACACACACACUCAUGUCUCAUGACUCAUGAUAUAAAAUAAAAUAACGUAAUUGAAAAAUAAACCAGUUGCCACGUCGGGCUGUCUCAACUCUUUCCCUUACUAAACUACCCUACGCGGUAAAGUGGUAGGGGUAGGACUACCCUACAUGCACAAAAUCGAUGACCACAACCAAUUUGCCUGACCAUUUACUUGAGAGUGUAAUGCACGUAAAACCUUAGAAAUUUUGCCUUGUGAAAAUUGAUCCAUCUCAAUUUACCAAGACAACCUAGCUGAUUUUUCCGAAGAAUAAAAAGAGGAUUUUUCCGUCGUAUCAUAGAUAUAAAUAUAUUUUUGAAACCAAUUUAUAAUUUCAAAUACAUCACAUCACAAAAUGGUGCUAUAAUAUUAUUUUAAUUUUUUUUUGUUUUCAGUAGUAUAAUCUUCUAUCCAAACACACUGUUCCUUUCCUUCCGAGUGUCAAUAGACAGGCUGAAUCUGAGAAUUCCAUAUGCAAAAGUUCUUUUAACCAGGCAUAGUUGCCUAAAAUUUGAGGAAAAUAUUAUAGGUUUUCAAAUAUUUAUAUCAUCUCAAUUUUUUUAAAAAUUAGCAAUUAUAUUUUUGUCACGUCAUAUUCAGAAUUUGGUGUUGAUGCUUUGCCUUUAACGAUUCAGCAUAUAAUUUCACGAACACAUACAGGGCUAUUUUAACAAUUCAGUAACUUCUACAUAAACUAGAAAGUUUUUUUUAUAUAUAUAUAAGAAAGAUAAUGUAUAAAUUAAAAAUAUAUUAUAACGAUUUGAUUUAUAUGAAAUAAAAAGAUGGUAUAGAAACGUAUUCAUAAAAAAAUAAACAUUUUUUUUGGAGAAAGAAUGUCAAUCCAAACAAGUCACAUCACAAAUGAGUGAGUACAUGGUAAAAGGUUUGCUAAACUCCAUUCCUAGCUCUAGCUCUCUCCUCCUUAAUGCGUCUCUCCCUACAGCCAAAAUGUUAUCCACCAUGUACGCACACUUGGGCAUUUUCCUCUUCUCUUCUCCUCCACUUUUCCUCUCUAUUAUCACCAAACUUCAUAGCCCCUAAUCCAACUCCCCUCCCUUCCCCUCCCCAAAUAUCCUCCCCACCUCCUCUAUAUCUCUCCCUCUCCAGAGCCCAUGGGUUUCUUGUAGUGUAAUGAAAGUGUGAAACCUCCAAAAACAAACAAAACUGGACCAAAAACUUCUGCCAUCAGCUCCACAGCUUCCAAUUCUACCAACAACAAGACCUUGCACAACCCACAACCAAGAACAACACCAAAACCAAUACCAAUACCCAUCUCUCAAAAACUCUCCCUUUCAUAACUCACAGUUUUUUGUAUGAGUGUUUCGAUAAAUGGACUCUGCGAAGACACUUCAAAAGCCGGCAACUUUUGAAGUGCUCCGCAGCACUUAACUACUAAACCCCCCAAACCCCCCCAAGCGAUGUGGGAACUUAACCCCACAGGGUGCCCCGCUGCUAAGAGAUAAAGACCCCCCAGACUCCCCGAGACAGGUUUUUCCCUUUCAUAACUCACAGUUUUUUGUAUGAGUGUUUCGAUAAAUGGACUCUGCGAAGACACUUCAAAAGCCGGCAACUUUUGAAGUGCUCCGCAGCACUUAACUACUAAACCCCCCAAACCCCCCCAAGCGAUGUGGGAACUAUUUUAUAGAUAUAGAUAGCUACAGCUUACAAGAUACAAGCCUCCAACUAUUUUAUAGGUAGACUAGGCUAGAGUAGCCUUGCCGCCCCAACCCUUUUUAUUUUUAUUUUUCUUUUUUUCUGGGGUUGGGUUGGGGGUGGAGACUAGACUCUAGAGAGGGCAAUUUCUUGAAUUUUGUGUGGUCAUCUAACUGCCUGAAGUCUGAUUCUGAACCGCCCAGCUGCUGCUUUUGUGAUUGAUAUAUACUUACCCCUCAAGGGAGUCUGUCUUACCAUUUUAUUUUUCCUCUCUCUUAUAUGGUUAUAUUCUCUCUUCUGAUCAGAUCUUUCUCUCUCUCUCCCAUGAGCAUGUGAUCCUUCUGAAAAGGUACUUAUCUGAAACUAACAACAGACACCAGAAAAUCAUUACCUACAGACAAAUCCCAAUAAUACUACUGUAGUAUUCAUUGAUUGAUAAUAACAAAGAAAGAGAAAGAAGAGAAGAGGAGGAGGAGAAAAUGUUGUUGGAUCUGAAUAUUGAUGCUGAUGCUGCAGCAGCAGCAUCAGUGGACUCAGCUUGUGAUGAAACCGACCCUUUUCCUUGCCCCGUCAAAACCACCGCUGCUGCUACUGCUACUUUGUUAACUGAUCAUGAUUCCGGGGCCUCAUCGUCCGUCCUCAUCAUAGCCGACGAAGAAUCCAACAGCUCCUCCCCACCGACUCAUAACCAACCCCACCACCGUUGCACAACCACCACUCUCAAUUUCUCCAUCCUCAACACCACUGGGGAAGACCAUAUCAUCCAAAUUCUUGACAAUGAUCAAGAUUUCGACAAUGAUGAUCAUCGUCAAGGUUUGAUGACUAGGCAGUUUUUUCCUGUUGUCCCCAACAAUGACCCAUUCCCGUUCCCCACCACGACCACGACGACGACAGCCAGGCCUCCACAAUGGCUCAAACUGUCCGUGCCGGAGGCCGCCGCUGCUGGGGAAAUUGGUGGGAUAUAUAACAAGGGUCAGCAGCAGCAGCAACAACAACAUCAGCUUGGUCAGCCGUAUCAGCAGCACCAAGUAGCUGGAGGCGGUGCGAAGAAGAGCAGGAGGGGGCCUAGGUCGAGAAGUUCUCAGUAUAGGGGUGUCACGUUUUAUCGGAGGACUGGCAGAUGGGAAUCCCAUAUCUGGUAUCUGUUCUAUGCUACACUUUGCAGUUUACAGGAAGAAAAAAACCCAUCCCCCCAACCAUACCGUGUCAAUGGCUUCUUGGGACUUUGUUGUUUGUGUUACAGAUGUAUUCAUAUUUUGCGAAAAUCAAGCUGUUUGUGGGAAUUUAUUUUCUACAUAAACUACUGCUCCAUAUGGUAUCGUUUAUUGUGCCGACUUCUUUUCUUUUAUGUGUGUGAUUGUCUUAAACUUUAAUUACGUGAUCUUUCUUUUCUUGUUUUUCUUUUCUUUUGCUUAUUUACCCUUCAUGCAUUUAGGGGUAGAAUCGGAAUGGUAGUGAGAAGAGGGGUUUUCUUCCCCCUUGCUUUUGGGGAGCGGGGGUUUUGGGAAUGAUAAUCGAGCUUUCAAUUUCAUAAUUAUGGAAGAGUGUUUUGACAGCUACAUCUCAGUUAUAAAUUGUGUGCAAGGAUUCUUUGCUGUCGAUUUGUUUCUUGGUAAAUUCGUGAAUGACUAGGGUAACGUCUAAACUGCUUCUUCUCUAUCGUCUCUUUUUUAUUUUGAAUUUUGUGGGACUCUAAAUCGAUUAAUUUUGAUGACAGUAUGGGAUAGUUCUCUGAUAGUAUUCAUAGGACUAGUAUGCAUUUCUUUGUCUUAAACAUUUGGGCCUCCUACUCCUCCUUGAUUGUAAUUGUAUCUUUUGUUUGUGGCAUUAUGAACAGGGAUUGCGGGAAACAAGUGUAUUUAGGUAAGCGGCUUAAGAUACUGAUUUACGACUCAUGUAAGUCUUUUCAUUAUUUUGCGAUUUUAAUUUGUAGUGCAUUUGCUUUUUCAGGAGGAUUUGAUACAGCUCAUACUGCAGCUAGGUAAUCAUCUUUUUUAGGGAAAAGAAUAACCAAUAAAAGAAAAAUGUUUCUAGUACUUUCAAGUUGAUCUUGCUACGAAAAGCUCAUUUUACAAGUUUUCGCUCCCUACUUUCCUAGCUGAUUUUAACAAUUAUUGUUCAGAGCGUAUGAUCGAGCAGCAAUCAAGUUUCGAGGUGUUGAUGCUGACAUUAAUUUUCAUAUCAGCGAUUAUGCAGACGAUUUGAAACAGGUUCACUUCUGCUGAUAAAUUUCUAGCAUCAGUAAGGUCAGAUAAUGCAAAUAAUGCAACAUGCGUUCCAUGUUAACCUUCAUUAAGUUGAUGUACAGAUGCAAAACUUGGCAAAGGAAGAAUUUGUUCAUAUUCUUCGUCGUCAAAGCACUGGAUUCUCGCGCGGGAGCUCAAAGUAUAGAGGAGUUACCCUACACAAAUGUGGUCGCUGGGAGGCUCGGAUGGGCCAGUUUCUUGGUAAAAAGUACGUGUCCAGUAACACUACAAAUUCUAAGCUGCUUUUGGUUGGCCACAUGUAAAUAUAGAAGCAGUAGUCUCAUCCUUUGUACAUGAAAUUACCAAACCUGUAAAAAUGUUAAUUUCCCAACGAUUGUUAUGCACACUAUUUUGCAUGGAUAUUACUUUAGAUGGUUUCGAAAAUAAUGCUUGAGGGCCCAUUCUUCAUCAUAUGAGAUAACAACGGUUGGCUGCAGGUAUAUAUAUCUUGGGUUAUUCGACAGCGAAGUAGAAGCUGCAAGGUCCUUAACCAUAAAUCAAACUCCUUGAGACUGAUUUUCUCACUCUGAAAUGAAAAAUAUAGUUUUUAUUGGGCUUCAUCCAACAAUAUUUCCAUUUUGUAUUUUUCCAGGGCAUAUGACAAAGCAGCUAUCAAAUGCAAUGGAAGGGAAGCAGUCACGAACUUUGAGCCUAGUGCCUAUGAGGGGGAGAUCAGUGGAGCUGCCAAAGAUGGAGGUAUGCUGAUCGUAUACGUAUUUUGCUUUCUCUUCAUUCAACCCUUUCAUCACAUGAUUGAAAGGAGCAGGCUAUUGACGUGGUACGGUUUCUGUUCUUGACCCACAGAUGCAGGUAGAGGUGACAAUCUUGAUCUCAACCUGUGGAUUUCUCCAGCUUCAGAUGGGCAGAAGGAAAUUGGUGAUUCAAAAAGUUCCUGUGCCCAUUAUGCAGCUUCUGAUGACAAAAUGAUAAAGGUAUCUCUUCAUUGAAGUGAUUAGCAAUUGAAGUUCUUUUCUUUGUUGUUUAUACUUUAAUCUUAAGAUUUAUCCAGAAGAAAAGAUGAACUGCUUCCAAGCUUUUGGUAGUCUUACAAUCGUUGUAAGAGCCAUGAAAUCUUUUUCUACUGUUUUAGGAACUUCGAGAAAUUCUGGUACUCAGAUUAUCUUCUCCUAUUCCUUGGCCUCCUUAAAAAAUACUUCGACAGGUGGAGAACUCCUUCAAUACUCCUGAAUAUCUACCAAUGGCAUCGCAAGAUUCUUCAGUUUGGACCCACACAUAUUCUGGUUUUGGUCCAAAGAAUGAGGUAAUUCUUUACUAACAUGAUGUCCGUGAACAGUUUUUCAUUAUACCAUAUAGGAGCUAUUUCUAACUUUCAAACUUCAGAAAAUUUAAUCUCUUAUAUAUAUAUAAAGUUGAAAAGUAAAUUUUGUGUUGUUUUACCAAUCAGUUCAAAUGCAUCUUCAAUUGUUAUUUUAUUGAACUACUUUCAGAAGAGUGAAUGGUCCUCAUGCUUCUCCAUUUUUCUUGAAGUAAAGGCUUGACUUUAGACGAUUCUUUUUCUUUCAACUUUUUAUGAUUCUGGGUUGUGGUCAAGAUGAAAACAAAACAAAGAGAUAAAUCUGGUUUAUCUUCAUAAACGUGAUGUUAAGACAUGAAAAUCCAUUUGACAGGAAAGAGCAAGGAAAAUGAGGCCUGAAGGCAUUCCGAUACCAGGAUUAUCAAACUGGCCAUGGAAAAUGCAUUGCCAUGGUGUGAUCACCUCGGUGCCUUUGUUUCCUUCUGCAGCAUCAUCAGGAUUCUCCACAGUGACUGCCACUUCAACCACGCUUGUGUCAACGAAUGCCCCAAAUAAGAUUGUCCACACCUCUGCCUUCCAGCACCCUCCUUUGACCCUUAAUUACAAUUAGCAAGCAUCAUCAUGAAGUACAACCUCUUUGAACAACGUUUGUUGGGGCUUGGAAUUCAGCUGGCAAAGGAAUCCACUCUGUUCAGUGCGGGGUUUCAUUUCUUCUAUGAUUCAUGCAUAUAUGAUAGAAACAAAGAUAUUUUGAACAUAUACAAUGGGGUAUAGGUUAGUGCAAAAUUGUGUAGAAUUGCUGCCAUGAGAAUUGUUGUAUAGCCAUUCACACUGUUUGGAACGUGGAAGUGCUCCACUGACUGCAAAGAAGCACGGCUUCUCUUGAGCAAAGAACUCAAGCUGGUUCAGUCCUGCUUGACCUAUACAAUGUUACCUAUACUACAAAUGGAAACUUGAGGUAUGCCAAAGCUCAUACUUCUAACUGGUGGUUUAAAGUCACUCUUUUAACUGCAAAAUGAAACUCGUGGUUUUUGCUCAGCCUGGUUUUGCACGGUGUUGUUUUACCGUUGCUCUAGAGAGUUUUCUUGAAUUUGUUGUGGUGAAGAUUCAUCAUGGAGUAUACGAAGAAAUAGCAACCGACACAGAUCCUCCAGAACUCAGGAAUUUGAGGGAUGGGGCUACUUUAAACUUCCAUCAGCUAUUAAACACUUCAGCAUCCAAUUCUUUUGCAUCCAAACAGAAAGAAUGCCAAAUAACAGAAGCUCCGUAUUACAUCAAGGUCCUAAAUCAAUUGUGCACCAAUGAAUUGCUGUGGAAUGUGUGGGAAAUUUCAUCAUCAAAAAAAUCAGUCGUUAAUUGCUUCCGGCGCCUUCAACAAUAUUUGAAAGAAAUAAAAAAAAAAAAAGAUAAACGCUGCUGCAGAUAAGAGAUUGGGCAGUUCUAAGUGCAAUUGCAAGCCCCACUCCAAUGCUUCACGCAUUUUUUUUUCCCAGAGUAAUCCUUCAGCAGUUUUGCUGUGCUCAAGCAGGCUACUGAGAGCUUGUCUACCCCCAAUGCAAUAAGGAACCUUUAGGCUUUAUUUGAUUAGUAGUAGGAAAGUUGCGCAGGAAGCGAAGUAUAUAUAUAUAUAUAAAGAGAAAAUCACUUUCUUGUGUAUAUAUGUUUGUUUGAUAGGAGAAAUUUUGAUAGAAAAUGGAUGGUUAGCGGCACUAUAUUGUAAAUAAUCAACAAUUUUCCUCCAAAAUCCUGCAGAUUUUGCAGGACAAUAAAUGCAGAAGAGUGAAGAAACAUUGCCUAACUUUCCUUGUAUUAAAAACAAAAAAAAAAAGAGUAACUUUCUUUCACUUUUCCAUCCUGUUCACUGCAAACAAACACAAACUUAGGCUUUCAGCAUGAUUGAUUAUCUUUAAUGUACAGAAACCAUGAUCCAUUGGGGUGUUUUAUGAUAAACAGGUAGGACCUAAAAUUUGGGUUAACUGUUUGCAAUUGUAAUCAUGGUAGUAAAAAAUCAUAUUUUAAGGGCUUGUCUAUCAAUGGAGAGCAAAGAAUGGCCACUGACUACAGUGACCUUUCUCCUUUUCUCCAUGGCAUUGGCACAUGCUUAGAUUAUAUUCUCAUUCCGCCCGUCCCCUUCUAAGGUCCAACCAAGAUCAAUGUAUUGAAAAACAAUAUGCUUGUGUCAUAUGCAUUUAAAAGAAAAGUAAUGAACUGUCUCCCCCUUUUUGUGUGUGAAACAAUGAUCAGUAGCUGCAUUUGGACGGAGGGAUUUGACAAAGAAUUUGAAAACCUCUCAAAUCUUUUUUAUUGUUUACAUUAUUUAAGAGGCACUCAGAUUCAUAAAUCGACAAUUAUUCUAGUAUUUUUAAAAUAUAUUUAGAUAAUUGAUGAAUUAUAAAACUAAAUGUACUUUUACUGAUCCAAACAACUAAAGCAAUUUUGGUAAAUUUCAAAUCUCUCAUUUUCAUCCUAGGGAGUAAUAUAUCAUAUGUUUAGGAAGUACAGAAAGAUGAAAUGACAUGGGAAUUAAUCACACGCAGACCAGUCUGAUAAAGAAAAUGUAGUGUCACAGCAGCCUUAUACUGAAGGCAAAGCCUCCAAUUUAAUUAUGUUGAGAUCAGGCAGUUGCUUCUUAUUAGGCGUAGUAGAGCUUGUUACAUGAUCUUGCAACAUGCAUAUGCCUUGAGGAUGAAGAGCAUGGCUCAUCCCAAUUCCAUGUGAUUUCAAGGGAUCCGAAGAGCUCAGCACUGAGAUUAAAACAAGCGGACAAAGAUUAAAACAAUUCAUUCUGAUAACUUCUAACAAAGAAAGACUGAUCAUUUGGCAGUAGAAUUUACCGCGAUACGCUUUUUUAACGCUGCUAAAAACUCCUUUGGAUCAGCUUUUGUCACUUUAUAAGCCUCAAUCUUAUCAAUUUCCUGUUGCAGAAGCAAGUUAAAUAGGUAAUAACCAACUAAACUGCUUCCAGUCCCAACAACAAAAAAAAAUGCAAUGAACCCUUGAAGAUGUACUCUUCUCCUAACCAAGGGAUUGUACAGAAUUUCACUUUCAGAUCAAGGAUAUCAUAUCAGCAUGAAAUUCAAAAGCAACUAUGUGUAUGAAUGCAAGUGGAAGAUUCCUAUCUCCAAGCAUGCCCCAAUUUCUUUAUGGUAUAGUCAUUUCAAUUCAUGCCUACUUGGAGGAUCAUUAACAUACUUAACUACAAACAGGAGCUGCAUGUAAAUAAUGCUUCCAGUUUAUUCCUGAUAAUUUUGUACAUAAUUUUGCAUGGGGAAAGUCUAAGAAAUUCUGUGAUUACCUCAAUCCAAGCUGCCAGUUUUGGCCUGCCCUCUGUAACAUCGUACUUCUUCACAUCCGACGCGAAGAGUUGGAACCUUUCAACAAAGGGCGCAUAAGCUACAUCCACCUGAAUUUGCGCAGAGAAAAAGAUGAAUCAACCUAUGCUUCUUCAAGAUAACAUAAAUACAACUUCAUAUCCCUAUCAUAAUGCUUGACGGAAGAACUUCAUUAACAAGGUAUAUGUGAACAAAUAGAAGUUCCCAAUUUUGCUCUUACAAGACUGAAAGUUCCGAGGAAGAAGGGACCAUCAUCGAAUUUGCCAAGGGCAUUCUCGAGGUAAUCAAAAGCAGCACCUGAUCAAAUAAUGCACUUUAGCAUCAAAGUUUACAGGAAUUAGCAGCCAAAAUACAUGAUCACUCAACUUACCAACUUCACCGAUUCCAUCUGCUCUGAAAGAAGAAAAUCCAGCUCCAUUAAAGGAGUCGGAGUAGGACAACAAAUGUUCUGCAAACUCUCUCUUAGCGGGGUCCUACAUAUUUGGUCAGAGAACUCAAAAUACAACCCACUGCAGAAUGCAGACUAAGAGCAGCCAACUUAGCUCACCAAAAUUUAACUAGAAAAUUGUUAUGAAUCUUACGUUAGGAAGAAGUGAAGGACCUUCAAAGUUUUCAUCGAGAUAUUUGAUUAGAUCAAGAGACUCUCCUUUGACUUCAUUAUUAUGUACCAGAGCUGGCACCUGCUUGAUAAUGGAGCAUAAGAAAAACCCCAUGUGAUUGAUACAAAGUAAACUACAUGUAAUAAUUGGCUGCUGAAAUGAGAAAUGAAACUUUCAUCUCAAUUUCAAAUAUUAGGUACAGUUGGUUAUCAAGAAAUCUAUACAUAUCAGUCCACAGGAAUUAUUUAUAAACCAAUUGAAAUUUCCAGGCUGACGCAAGCAGCCAUGGCUCCUCAAACAGUACAAAAGUUUCUGGCUGGUUUUUGUGAACAUUUAGCAUGAGUCUGAUAUUGCCGCAGAACAAUUAGCAUCAGAGAUCUCACACAACAUGGUGAAAUUAAAUAAUACCCAACCUUGUUUGCUGGGUAAACUUUCUCCUUGUACCAGGCUGGCCUAUUCUCUAGGUCCAUAGCGAUCAAUUUUAUUUUAUCUUGCAAUCCCUGCAAACGCAAAUCAGAAAUUCACAAAUCUGAUUAUUAGAUCAAGCAGAAUCACCAAGGUCCACAAGAAGUCCCCAACAAACCUUAUAAUUCCUUGUGAUCCACACACGUUGUGCAUACGGGCAUAUGUAGGCUGUGAACAACCUAAUAUCAAGAAAUGAAAUAUCGUAGUGUCAAAAUAUUAUCAUACUCAAACGAACAAUAGUCACUGUAAGAUUUCCAUGUUGUGAUCCAAAAAUUUUGGAAAUGACCAAAAAUUUCGGUUUCUUCCAGUUCGAUGCACAUAUUGUUGAGAUUUUAUCCAUGUCCCUCGUUGAUUCUCAGUUCAUGUGUAGGCAGGUUAAUAACUUUUUGAUCUAAAUCACUGGGCCAAAAUGCUUAAUCCAACUUUACUAAUAUCCUUGAUCAAUCCGAUGUAAGAUGCAGGCCACUUGCAUUAAAAUGAACCAAACUGAGACAAAGUCAAUAAAACAAGAAAAAGCGGUGCCAUUGAUGAUUCUCUUGGGAUUAAGCACUCACUUGGUGGUUCCGUCAAAGAUGUCAGGAGGUGGUUCUGAGGAAGAAUCAAGCGAAGGUGGAAGCACCUCUUUGACACUACGAAAACAAAACAUACCCAAAUCAGUAACAAGAUCCAAAAUUAAACACACCGAAGCAUUCAAGAUAAAGAAGAAACAGUGAACAAACAAAAGUUGGGAUUUAAUUACCCAGAAGCCAUUGCUGAAGCUGACAGCGAAGAUAUUCCGAAAACUUUUUAUCUUGCAAAGGAAGAAUUGGAUGGUGGUAGCAGUAGCAGUAGUACAAGGAUUCUUAUAUUGCCAUGAUGAUUGCUUAAUUUCAAAGUGGCCACAUAACAUUCAUAUUUUUCACGUGUGUUUGCAUCCCAAAAUCGUGCUUUGACUACUUGAAAUGCGGACUGUGUUGCAAAUCUUCGGAUCUGAACAACUGAUAGCCAUCCAUUAAGUGAUAGACCAUCUGGUCUUGGGGUUCAUCCGGAACUCCAAGUCUAGUGGUCGAAUCCCACUUAACUCCGGGUGCGUUUGGGGUGGCGGUGUACUUGGGUGCAAAGGAUUAGUCGGGCCGCCUUCGGGUCUUGACCCGAACACCCCUGUAUUGACAAAAAAAAAAGAUAGCCAUCCAUUAAGAAUUUAAGAUGUAGGUCAGGUAUUAAAUUUUUUAAAAGAAAAAAAAUUAAUUAAGAAAAGUAUAUAUAGAUAUAAAAUAAAACAAUAAUAAUUAGUGUGUGCAUUCAAUAAUUAAAGACCCUACUUUCUCUUCAUUAAAGAAAAAGGCCAACUCCUGUAUGUAGGUUGGUAAGGUUGGUAUCUCUUUUUUCUUUUUUUUUUUUGACAAAUUAUUGGCUAAAAUACUUUUUAAAAAAUUCUCAAAUUUUGGUACUAUUUUGGGAUUUUUUUAGUGUUACUUAUUGAAAUUUUUUUUGCACAAAAAUUAAUUAUUUUUUUUAACCGACUCAAAAAGCAUGCAUGUAAUUUUUUUCAUGUAGUGGUACGCAAAAAUCGUGAAGUCAAAGGAGAUUGGUAACAUAUUACAAAGUUGCUAGCUGAAAAAUAAACUCUUGAAUAGUAGAUGGACACAAGAACAAAGAACACAUUGGAGAGACCUUGGAUACAUACAUUUUUUUUUUGUUUGCUUUAAUUUCCUUAGCUACACAUACAUUUAUGUGUGUGUACGUACAUAUCUACAUAAUCUCAAGUCCCAAAAAAAAAAAAAAAAAAAAAAGGAAAACACCUUCUUGUACAUUUCCCGACGUUAGGAUAAUGAUAAUUUUGUCUAAAGUUCUAAUACGUAGAAAUAUAAUAGAGGCAAUUUCGAAACAUUUGUAAUUUGUAACAAUCAAACAUAAAUUUUGACCAAUGAGGGGGUAAGGUGCUCAAAAUUAAACAUUAGAGGGUAAAGUAGUUUUGAGAGCAAGCAUUAAGAGCAUUUACUGCCAUAGUUUUUACAAGAAAUCUAUUUCCAGGAUUGCUAUCCAUGCAACCAAAGUGAGAACUAAGUGAUUAUUUGGAGGAGGGAUGAAUUGGGUGAUUUUGAGGAAUGGAGUGUAAGUUUCGGGUUUCGGGUUUCGAGACCUUCUACUUAUGCUAAAAAAAAAAGUGAUUUAUUAUAUUAUCAUUUGUGUUUCCAUCAGUAACAAUCGCAAAUUUGGCUGGCAUAGGAAUCGAAUCCGCAGACAGGUCUUGCCUGAUGACUUGGUCUCCAAGAAGAAUUUUAACAAUUUGCAAAUUUAAUUCAGUUGGUGAUUCUUGCUGUUUGAGGUAUCUUGAGAAAAGAAUUCAACAGCUGUUAAGUGCUGCUGCUACGUGUAAGCAUCAUGCUCCCAAACUCAAAGCAUCUAUUGCCAAACCCAAACCCAAACCCAUUUUUAUGUAGUAGAUCCGAAUUCGAUCCGUAUGUCCGACGGGUCUUGACCUUUGAGUCUCGGAACUAGGUCCAGGUUUACCAGAAAAGAAAAAGUUCAAAGUUAAACAUUUUAAAAUUAAAUCCAAAACCAAUCAUAAAUCCAAUAAAUCAAUUUACAAAGUCAUUACUAAAUUAUUAAUUUGGUAAAAGAAUGUAUGUAGAAAUAUUUAUAUUUUAUAAUUACUAAUAUAUUGUUCGGGUCCGGAUCGAAUAUUGGUCGGAAUCUUAUAUUCUGUAUCCGACCCCUUCUUUUUGUUAGAGUAAACAGGUCUGAGUCCGGGUAUCGGAAUUAUAUUUUUCAGCCCAAACCCGAAAAAAUUUAUCUGACCCGAGUCGGGUCUAGGUCCAAACCCGACCCAUUGACACGGUAAUGCUUCCAUUUGCCAUUACAUUGACGGACUUAAUAGUACUUCAAAACCUUAUUCAUGUUUCUUGCCAAGGACUAAUAUAUCAUGCUACGGUCAAAUGCACAAGAAGAUAAAAGGACACAGUAAAUUCUCUACAGACCAGCCGGAUAACGAAAAUACAGGUGUUACAACCUUAAACUGAAUACAAAAAGUAUAGAUGUUAAAUAUAACAAUAAUAUGUCUAUUGACUUGAGACAGUUACUCUUGUGACAGGCGCUUGAGAUGUGAUCCAGCAACAUGCUUAUGCCUUGAUGAUGAAGAGUGUAAUUAUCCCAAUUCCAUGCGAGAUCAAGGGAUCCGAAGAGCUCAGAACAGAGCCUAGAUACGAUUAUAAAGGUCAAAGAAAUUCAUCCUGAGGAACUUCUAGCAAAGGUUGAAUCUGUAACAAAACAGAAAUCAUUUGCUAGCAGAAUUUACCUUAAAACGUCUUUUCAGAGUUGCUAAAAGCUUGUCAGGAUCAAACUUUGUCGCUGUAUAAGCCUUAAUCUUAUUAACUUCCUGUAAGAGUGAAACGAGUAGGUAACAAACAACUCAAGUGCUUCCAGUCCCAAGGAAAAUGCAAUGAGCUCUAAAGUAUGUACUCCUCUCUUAACCAAAGUGAUGUGUCAACAAUAGUGCAAAAUAUCACAUUCAGAUCAUGGAUGCCAUGAUCGGUAUGGAAUUCAAAAAAAAAAUGAUACGUAUGAAGAUUAUUCUGUCCAAUAUGCCGAACUGUUUUGUGAGACCAAGUCAUUUCACUACAUGCUUGGAGGAUCAUUAAGAAUUGAAGGACUUAGAUGACAAAUUAAGAUCUGCACUUGAACAAUGCUUCCAGUUUCUCCCUUAAAAUUUUUCUAAAUGAUUUUUGUAAGGGAGACUGCUAGUAGAUUCUUUGAGUACCUCAAUCCAUGCUGCUAGUUUUGGCCUGCCCUCUGUAAUAUCAUACUUCUUGAAAUCCAAUAGGAAUGGUUGGAACAUUUCAAUGUGUGGAGCAAAAACCAUAUCCACCUGAGUUCUUCAGGAUAUGAAUCCAACUUAUAGCGAAUCCAAACAUCAUUCUGAUUUCUUUUUUCAUAUCCCUUUCCGAAUGCUUGAAAGAAGGACUUCAUUCAAACACGAUCUACGUGAAAUUAAAAAAACUAUAGGGGUCCAUUGCACUUACCAGACUGAAUUGUCCAAGGAAAAAGGGACCAUCAUCAAAUUUGCCAAGGGCAUCCUCAAGGUAAUCAAAAGCAGCACCUGAUCAAAUCACCUACUUGAGUAUCAAAUAUGACAGGAACUAGUAGCCAAAAAGCCAUGAGCAUUCAACUUACCAGUUUUACCUGCUCCAUUUGCCAUGAAAGAAGAAAUUACACCUCCAUAGAAAGAGUUGGAGUAGGAAAGCAACUUUUCAGCGAACGCUUUCCUGGCAGGAUCCUGUAUAUUUAGUUAAGAGGACUUGGAACACAAGCUAUCGAAAAAUGCAGAUAAAAAGCCGCAAAUUUGCUCACUGAAAUUUAACAGAAAGAUGUUACUGUUAACAGGUAUCUUGGGAGGAAAACAUCUAGUCACAUAUUAUGAGUGACCAACUAGUAUUUAUAGGAGUACAAACCUAACCGACUAUUUACAAGAAUACCCUUACUAAUUUAUUAUCUAUAAGAAUACUAAUAUUCUCCUAACACUCCCCCUCAAGUUGGAGCAUAUAUAUCAUAAGCACCCAACUUGUUACAAAUGUAUUUCACCCUAGAGCCCCCUAAACUCUUGGUAAAUACAUCAGCCAAUUGAUCUACAGACGGUACAUGAGAUGUCUUGAUGACCCCGUCAAGCAAUUUCUCUCGAAUGAAAUGACAAUCAACUUCAAUAUGUUUUGUCCUUUCAUGAAACACUGGAUUAGACGCAAUAUGAACAGCCGCCUGAUUAUCACACACUAAAUUCAUAGGCUGUUUAUGCUCAAACCCAAGUUCCAGUAACAUGCUCUUCACCCAAACCAACUCACACACAGUGUGAGCCAUAGCGCGGUAUUCAGAUUCUGCACUUGAUCUGGAUACAACUGUUUGCUUCUUACUCUUCCACGACACUAAAUUACCACCAACAAACACACAAUAUCCUGUAGUCGAUCUUCUAUCUGAGGCAGAACCAGCCCAAUCUGCAUCACUAUAUCCUUCAAUAUCAGUGUGUCCAUGAUUUUGAUACAGCAACCCUUUUCCAGGAGCACUCUUAAGAUACCUGAGAAUCCGUAUAACAGCAUCCCAAUGACUAGUACGAGGGGUAUCAAGAAAUUGACUCACAACACUCACUGCAAACGAAAUCUCAGGUCUCGUUACAGUGAGAUAAUUUAAUUUACCCACAAGUCUUCGAUAUUGCUUAGGAUCAUCAAGUAAUGCACCUAGAUCUCCUGCUAAUUUCACAUUGGGAUCCAUAGGAGUAUCCACAGGUCGGCAACCUAACAUCCCAACUUCACUCAACAUAUCGAGUACAUAUUUUCUUUGACAUAAAUAAACCCCAUAUUUAGACCGAGCUACCUCAAUACCCAGAAAAUACUGUAGAUGACCUAAAUCCUUUGUCUGAAAGUUUGCCUGCAGAUUGGAUUUAAGUUUCUGGAUCCCCACAACAUCAUCACCUGUAAUCACAAUGUCAUCCACAUAAACAACUAAUAAAAUUUUACCAGCAUUAGAAUGCCGAUAAAAUACAGAGUGAUCUACUCCACAUCUUGUCAGACCGAACUCCAUGACAACACUACUAAACCGGCCAAACCAAGCCCUCGGAGACUGUUUCAAUCCAUAUAAGGAUUUUUUCAAACGACAAACCAACCGCGGAUUCUCCCCCUGAACAACAAAUCCAGGAGGUUGUUCCAUAUAUACCUCUUCUUUCAAAUCUCCAUGCAGAAAUGCAUUUUUCACAUCCAACUGAUGCAAUGGCCAAUUAUAAGUGGCUGCCAAAGAGAUAAGAAGACGAACAGAGGUAAUCUUUGCAACAGGAGAAAAAGUUUCUAAGUAAUCUACUCCAUACACCUGAGUAAAUCCUCUAGCUACCAGCCGAGCCUUCAAUCUAUCAAUAGAACCAUUAGGCUGCACUUUUAUAGUGUACACCCAUUUACAACCAACAACAGGCUUACCUGAAGGACGAGGGACAAGAUCCCAAGUACCAUUUUGUUCCAAAGCAGACAUCUCUUCUUGCAUAGCUAAUCUCCAACCAGGAUGAUUAAGAGCAUAGGUAAUAGACUUAGGAAUGGAGAUAGAAUCAAGAGAAGCAACAAAAGAAGAAUAUGACAUAGAGAGACGAGAAUAAGAAACAAAAUUAGAAAUAGGAUGGGAAGUACAAUGUCUCUUACCUUUGCGUAAAGCAAUAGGAAGAUCUAACUCAGAGGAGGGCGUCAUACCUGGAUUUGAAGAUUGAGAGUUAAUUGGUGAAGUGCGUGGCAUAUCAGGAACUUUCUCAACCAUGGAACGACGAGAGUAAACUUGAAGAUGAGGACGAGAUAAUCGAGCUAUGGAAUCUGGUGGACUAGACAACUCAGGUAAUAAAGGGGAAGGGAUUGGUAAAACAGGAGAGGAAAAAGAGGGACACUGGUCUAAUUCACAAGACAUACUUUGCUUGAUAAAAUACGGAGUGGAUUCAAAGAAAGUAACAUCAGCACAAGUAAAAAAUCGAUUUAAAACUGGACUGUAACAUCUAUACCCUUUUUGCGCUCGUGCAUAUCCUAAGAAAAUACACUUAAUAGCACGAGAAUCUAAUUUAUCCAUCCCUGGAGCAAGCUGAUGAACAAAGCACACACAUCCAAAAAUACGAGGAGGCAAUUUAAACACAGGUUCAUGAGGAAAAAGAAUGGAGUAAGGUAAUUGACCUCCAAGAAUAUUAGAUGGCAUGCGAUUAAUUAAAUAACAUGCAGUUAGAACUGCAUCACUCCAAAAUUGUUUGGGCACAUUCAUGUGCAACAACAGUGUUCGAGCAAUUUCGAUUAAAUGCCCAAUUUUUCUUUCAGCAACUCCAUUCUGUUGUGGAGUGUGAGGACAAGAGGACUGAUGAAUAAUACCAGACUUAGUCAUAAAGGUAUUAAAAGGAGUGGAAAAAUAUUCUUUCGCAUUAUCACUGCGAAGUAUACGUACAGGCACACCAAAUUGAUUCUUUAUUUCUGUAACAAAUGCACAAAAAAUGGAAUAUAAUUCUGAACGAUCUUUCAUUAAAUAAAGCCAUGUAACUCUGGAAAAAUCAUCAACAAAGACUACAAAAUAUUUAAAACCUAACUUUGAAGUGACUCGACUAGGACCCCAAACAUCAGAAUGAACUAACAAAAAAGGUUCAGAAACCCGUUUAUUGACUCUAGGAGCAAAAGAAACACGAUGAUGCUUUCCUAACUGACAAGACUCACAUUCUAACGAAGAUAAUUGAUUCAAAGUAGGAACCAACUUUUUCAAAUUUUGUAAAGACGGAUGACCUAAACGACAGUGAAUUUCAAGAGGAGAAACAGUAGCAGGACAUGCUAUCGGACCAUUGAAGUUGAGAAAAUAAAGACCAUUAUGCUCAUGCCCUCCACCAAUCGUCCUCUUUGUCUUCAAAUCCUGAAUGACAACAGAAUCAGGAGAAAAAGUAACUGUACACUGUAAAAAUUUAGUGAGCUUACUAACAGACAUUAGAUUAAAUGGCAAAUUGGGUACGUAAAGAACAGAAGACAGCGGAAGUGAUGGAUUAAUUUCUACAGUGUCUAGUCCUUUAACUUUAGUGGUAGAUCCAUCAGCUAAAGUAACAUGAAGAAAGGGAGUAGACUCUUGAAAAUUAGAAAAAAUUUUAGAGGUACCUGACAUAUGAUCAGUAGCCCCGGAGUCAAUAAUCCAUGAGUCAUUACCUUUUUGUGCUAAAGAAGCAGAGGGAAGAGAUGCGUGAUUUGUAGCUUGGUACUGUAAGAAUUUAACAUAAUCUUCCUCGGAUAUAGUAACAGUUUUCUGGGACCCAUGUGCUGAAGAACUUGAUUCAACUUGAUCAGUGGUAACCCCAUUAGCAAAACUUUCAACCAUAGCGAAUAGCACUUCAAACAAAACAGCAAUCAAAAUUCGCGAUGAACAGUGCGCCGUGAACAGUGCGUCGUGAAUAGUACCGCGUGAACAGUGCGCGAUGAACUGUACGCGCGAUGAUGAACAGUGCGAGUGAACAGUGCGCGAUGAACAGUAUCGCGUCAAGACUUUUGCUAGAUAUUUAACCCUAACCCUAGGACUUUUGCUCUGAUACCAUGUUAACAGGUAUCUUGGGAGGAAAACAUCUAGUCACAUAUUAUGAGUGACCAACUAGUAUUUAUAGGAGUACAAACCUAACCGACUAUUUACAAGAAUACCCUUACUAAUUUAUUAUCUAUAAGAAUACUAAUAUUCUCCUAACAGUUACCAAUCUUACAUCAGGAAGAACUGAAGGACCUUCAAAGUUUUCCUCGAAAUAGUUGAUUAUUUCAAUAGAGCCUCCUUUAACUUGAUUGUUGUCGGCACCUGCUUUGAUAAUAGAGCAUAAGAAGAGCUCCAAAGUAUAAAAUUAACUACGUGCAAUGAUUAGUAGCUGAAAAUAGACUAUAAUCUCAAAUUUGAGUAAUAGGUACAGUUUGUUAUCAAGAAAUUUGUCCAGAUCAGUAAAUAAGUUCCCGAAACAAGGAAAAAAAAAAGUUCAGGCCAGUUUUUGUGGAUAUUAACAUGAGAUUGAUAUUGUUGUGGAGUAUUAUUAGCAUAGCGCAAGUAAAUAUCUAACCCCGUUUGCUGGGUAAAGCUUCUGCUGGUACCAGGCUGGCCAACUCUCUAGGUCAAUAGCAAUCAGUUUUACCCUAUAUUGCAAUCCCUGCUCCAGAAAAGAAUAUAAAAUGCAAUUCAGGAAAUUCAGAAAGCUGAUAGAUUAGACCAAGCAGAAUUAUUAGGGUCAACAAGAACUCCUUGACAAACCUUGUAAUUCCUUGCGAUCCAUGCUGCUUUUGCAAACGGGCAUAGGUAAGCGACGAGCAACCCAAAAUCAAGAAACGAUACAUUUUUGAGUAUCAAAAUAUUAAGCUUGAAUGGACAAUAGUUAAUGAAGAUUUUCGUGUUGUGAUUUCUGAACCGUAAAUAUUCCAACCAACCAAAUUAUCCAUUUCUUUCAGUCCCGGUGGCAUAAUGUUAAACUUGUAAAACUUGUUUUUCUCAUAUGAAAUAGUAUGACUUAAAGCCAACACGACCUUGUAAAAUGAGCCACAGUCGGCAUCUCAAUGCAAAAUUCUUGAUCCGCAUCUCAAGCUCAACUAGGACCAUAGAUGCCUUGAUUUCCAAUUCCAAGCAUAUAUAAUAGCAUAUCCGAGAUGAGAAGUGUCACCGUGUCCCACACCCAAACAAAAGUAUUGAUCUACUAUUGGACCGUUGUCCCGUUUACCUUAAAAAUCAAGUUAUUCCCUCUAACCCUCAAGCAUUAGAGUCGGUAUCAAACCAUCAAAGCGAGGGCCAAUGUUGUUGGGAUGUAUCUAGACAAGGAACUGCACGAACUGAAUGAUUUGCAGAGCUAAGUGGCUUAAACACUACAGCCAUGUAAAGGCCUCCUAGAAUCUCCAGCUCGAGUUACAUAAAUAACGAGACAAGUCCGGAUCACGGGCCUAGCUUCGUGAGGGUGCAAAGUCCCAAAAGGGUGGUCAAUCUCUCCACCCCCGGGUCCUAAAGAUGCAGGGCCAUUGCAAGGAAAACGCUGAAAAGAACCAAAUUGAAAGAAAGUAAAUCCCAACGAAUAAAAGCUGGUGAUAUUGGUUCUACGUUUGAUUAAGAACUUUCUUGGAGGUUCUAUCAAAGAUGUCAGCAGGUGGUUUUGAGGAAGAAGUAACUAGUAAGAGCAGGUGGAGGCACCUCUUUCACACUUUGAAGACAAAACGUGUCAGAAUCUGUAACAAAUCCAAAAUCGACAACAGCAGAGUAUCCAACAUAAAGAAGAAACAUGGAACAGGCAAAGUAUCGAUUUAAGUACCCAGAAGCCAUUGCUGAAGCUGAUUGUGAAGAAACUCUGAAAACUUUGUUUAGACAGUGAAGAUUUGGACGGUAUAGGAAUGGGAUUCUGGACAUGGUAUAAAUAGAAAACAGCAGAUGAAAGUUCGAGGCGUUGAAUCAGGAGGGAAUGAAGUUAUUCGAAUACAAAUAUUACGUGUGCACUGAUAAUUGAUGUUGGAAACUUUUCAAAAUUUGUGUGACGUACAUACAUGUAAUUUUAAUGUAUAUUCAUUCAUGUUUUGAUACAUGUAUAGUAUUGUGAAUGUUUCUAAAAUGUACAUUUAUCUAUGAAUGUGUUCAUGUAUAUGGGAAUCCUUGAAUGAAAGGAUAGAUUCAUGAUUUAAUCUUAAGAUCAUGAGAUGCAUGAAUUAAAGUACAUGAAUUUGUACACAAUACUUUGAAUCUAUUCAUACAAGUAUUUAAUGAGUUCCUUUGUUUCUUAAACAAUCUUCCUAUAUAAAGAGGUCAAGUAGAGAGUGGUUUGCUGCAGAAAAUCACUUUCCUACUAUUGUAUACUCUCUCAAAAGCACUCCUUAGUUCAAAAGGGUUUGUAUUGCACAAAGAGUGUAAGACAAACAAACUUCAUCUUAUCCUAAAGGAUAUUUAUCCAAUGUUUUUGCACGUUAUACUGGACAAAUAAAGCCUAAAGAAAAGUGAUUUUCGAUCACGAUUUGAAGCCAAUUCUUGUCACAACAUUUGCCAGUUCGUUGCAAUUAUUCCCAACAAUUGAUAACGUCCAAGUUGGCCAUAUUAUUAUUCAUGACAAGGGCAGCUAUUCAAAAGCUAGCAGGCUCUUUUACUUUUAUCCAACACAAGCUGGGAUAGGUGAUAAGUCCAAUUUAGCACCUGAAAUCUAUGGAAGUAUCUAAAUUGAGCCCCAUUCAUGAAUCUAAAUUUUGUUAUAUUGAGCCCUCGUAACCAUUUCUUGUUAUAUAUUUUCAAUUUGCAGUACUUUAGAUGUCAAAAAUUGCUUCCUUUCUAUUGCUCUAUUUUAUGAAAUUGUCUUAGUUUGACUUUAGGUAUAAGGAGUGAAAUCUGAAAAUUAUACAACUCAAGAAAAAGAGCUAACUCUAUUUUCUAGAAGGCGCAUUUCGUAGUUCUUUUCUUUCUAGAAAGCACAUAAGAGGUCAAGAAAUUUGCCAUAAACUAACAUAUUGGGUCCAUUUUCAAAGUCAAGAUAUUUGCCAUAAAUAGCAUAUUGGGUCCGUUUUCAAAGUCGCGUAAUCGAACACUACAAAUUCAUAGACGUCUGCCUUCCAGUUCCAGCACCCUCAUGACUUUUUAGUUACAACAAUGAGCAAAGCAUCAUCAAAUUUGAGGUUCGGAAACUUGUGGGUUUUGGGGUGGUGGACUUGGAAGUCAGCUGCCAAAGGAAGCAACUCAGCUCAGUUGCAGGGUUUUAUUUCUGUCAUUCAUGCAUGUACUAAUAGAAAGAUGACAUUUUUAAACGUAUACUUUGGUUACAGAUAUGUCUCGUACCGAGACAAACUGCGAUAGCAGUCUAAGAAGGCGGAGCUGCACCAUAUCAGGCGGGAUUGCAUUGCCUGGUUCUAAUUCUUCAGGCUUCUGGUGUUUCUUGUUCCUACUUCAAGAAAGUCCAGUUACAUAGGAUUUAACCUUCGAGCAUGAACCAUCCUCAACCUAAAAGGGAAAAAACAUUACCUGUUGGUUUUUUUUCAUGAUAACCGGUCUAGAUUUUUGGGCCAGUCGCUACCAAUUGUAAUCAAACUAGCAAAAACGUUACGAGUUGACAGGGAAAUUGAGUAGUGAUCAUUGCUUCGUCAGAAAAGGACGCAACAGUUUCUCUUUCAAGCGCUGCUCGUACAUGUAAACUCUUUACUGCUAAAGCACUAUUCCCAUUACAUCUUAUUAUUUCAUUUUUUGACUCGAAAAACUCGAAUCUUGAUCACAUUCCGGACAUAUGGUCUACUGGCAAUAGAUAGAAAUUGACACCUCCAAUUACUCACAAAAUUUUUGUGGCACUUCUAACAUUAGUAAGAAAUAAUUAUGAGGCUUUAGAAACAAGAAUAAGGAGAUGCUUCCAUUACAUUGAAGAUGUUGCAGUAGUUGAAAACCUUAUAAAAGUAUUGUCAAGGUGUAGCAUAGCUCAUCAUGGAAACACACAACGAUGAAAGAGCAUAAAAGUUGAAUGUAGACCAGUCUGAUGAGAAAAAGUAGUAUUACAACCUUAAACUGAAUGCAAGACAAAGUUGUAUUACAACCUUAAAAUGGAGGCAAAGCUGCCAACAGUACAGAAUGUAGAUGCAAUAACGUUUAUUGACAUCAAACACUUAGAAAGCAAAGCCGCAAAACAACACAGAAUGUAGACAUAAACAAAGUUUAUUUACAUCAGGCAGUUGCUCCUUGUUAGGCAUAACGCUUGAGAUAUGAUCCUGCAACAUGCAUAUGCCCUUGAAGAUGACGAGCGUGAUUAUCCCAAUUCCAAGUGAUUUCAAGGGAGCUCAGGCCUGAGGCCGGACACGACUACAAACAUUAGAACAAUGCAUCCCAAGAACUUCUAGCAAAUCUCAUGAAAGAGUAUAUCAUUUGGCAGUAGAAUUUACCGUGUCAAGACCGAAACGUCUUUUUAAGGCUGCUAAAAGCUCGUUUUGAUCAUAUUUUGUCGCUUUGUAAGCCUCGAUCUUGUUAACUUCCUGUAAAAGUAAAUGAAGUAGGUAGUAAUCAACUUAAGCGCUUCCAGUCCCAACAGACUGCAAUGAGCUCUGGAACAUGUACUCUUUUCUUAACCCAAGUGAUGCGUCGAAAGCAGUGCAGAUAUUAGAUUCAGAUCGAUGAUACCACAUCACUAUGGAAUUUAUGAAUAAAAGUGGCAGAUUACUGUGUCCAAAGAUGCCUCAAUUGCUCUAUCAGACCAAGUCAUUUCAAUUGGUGCCCACUUGGGAGGAUCAUUAAGAAUUGAAGGACUUGAUGACAAACGAUAUCUGCACUUAAAUGGCACUUCCAGUUUCUUUCUGACUAUUCUCUACAUGAUUUUGCAUGGGGAACUACUAGUAAGUUCUGUCAGUACCUCAAUCCAUGCUGCCAGUUUUGGCCUGCCCUCUGUAAUAUCAUACUUCUUCACGUCCAGCAGGAAGGGUUGGAACCUUUCAACAAAUGGAGCAUAAGCUACAUCCACCUGAGUUUGCAAAGGGAAAAGGAUGAAUCAACCUAUCAUUCUUCAAGAUAACAUGAGUACAACUGAUAGUGAAUCCAAAUACCAUUGUAAUUUCUUUUUUUUUUAAUAUCCCUUUCGUAAUGCUUGACAGAAGAACUUCAUUUAAACAAGGUAUAUGUGAACAAAUAGAACUCCCAACUUUUUGCACUUACCAGACUGAAAGUUUCAAGGAAAAAAGGACCAUCAUCGAAUUUGCCAAGGGCAUUCUCAAGGUAAUCAAAAGCAGAACCUAAUCAAAUCACACACUUCAGUAUCAACUUUUACAGGAAUUAGUAGCCAAAAGCCAUGAACACUCAACUUACCAACUUCACCAAUUCCAUCUGCUCUGAUAGAAGAAAAUACAGCUCCAUUAAAGGAGUCGGAGUAGGACAACAACUCUUCUGCAAACUCUCUCUUAGCAGGGUCCUACAUAUUUAGUCAGAGAACUCAAAUAAAAACACAAGCUAUCACAGAAUGCAGACUAAAAGCAGCCAACUUAGCUCACCGAAAUUUAACAGAUAAAUGUAAUGAAUCUUACCUCAGGAAGAAGUGAAGGACCUUCAAACUUUUCAUCCAGAUAUCUGAUUAGAUCGAGAGACUCUCCUUUUACUUCAUUAUUAUGUACCAGAGACGGCACCUGCUUGACAGUGGAGCAUUGGAAAAGCCCAACAGAGUACAAACUAAAUUCACAUGCAAUGCAAUAUGAUUUGCUGUUGAAAUUUGACUUUCAUCUCAACUUCAAAUCAUGCCUUGUACGUUUUGUUAUCAAGAAAUUUCUUGGUAUCAUAUUUCGUUGAUAUUAUUUGUCAACCAAUUAAGAUUUCCAGGCCUGACGCAAGCAGACAUAUGUUCUUCAAGCAGUAAAUAAUUCUUGCCGAGUUUUUCUGAACAUUUAGCAUGAUUUUGGUAUAGCUAUACUCUAUAGUUAGUAUCAAAGACCUCAUGCAGCAUAGCGCAAUUAAAUAUUCAACCUUGUUUGCUGGGUAAACUUUCUCCUUAUACCAGGCUGGCCUAUUAUCAAGGUCAACAGCAAUCACUUUUAUCUUAUCUUGCAAUCCCUGCUCCAUAAAAGAAUAUAAACACAAAUCAGGAAAUUCACAAAGGUGAUAGAUUAGAUCAAGCAGAAUCACCAGGGUCCAGAAGAACUCCCCAACAAACCUUGCAAUUCCUUGUGAUCCACACACGUUGUGCAAACGGGCAUACGUAAGCUAUGAACAACCUAAAAUCAAGACAUGAAACAUCUCUGAGUUUCAAAUUAUUACUGUAUAAUUCCAUGUUGUCAUCCGAAGAUAUUCAAAACAACCAAAUUUUUUGUUCUCUAGGUUCCGAUGUAGAAAACAUCGAGAUUUCAUCCACGUCCCAUAUUGAUUCUCAGUUCAAAGCUAUCAAAGUUGUUCAUCUCAAAUACAAUAUCACUGAAGGCCAAUACAGGCUUCUAACAGUAGUCAUGGUUAGCAACUCAAUUCUCAACCCAAAAUUCUUGGUUGGCCAUCUCAAAGUUAGAUCAGGACAUUAAAAACCUUGACAAACAUCUUUGAUCGAUCCGAUGUAAGACGCAGGCCAGUUACAACAUACAAGGUAAAAAAGAGAAAAGAACCAAACUCAAAUAAAGGAAUUCCCACCAAGUAAAGCUGGUGCUAUCGAUUCCACUGGCAUUAAAGAACUUACUUGGUGGUUCCAUCAAAGAUGUCAGCAGGAAAUUCUGAGGCAGGAUCAAGAGUGGGUGGAAGCACCUCUUUCACACUUCGGGAACAAAAACAUACCACAAUCAGUAACAAAAUCCGACAUAAAAAACAGCAAAGUACAGACAAACAAAAGUCUUAUUUCAAUUACCCAGAAGCCAUAACUGAAGGUGAUGGUGAAGAAACUCUGUAAAAAUUUUGUCUUGAAAGUGAAGUUCUGUAUGGUAUGCAAAUGUGGAUUUUGGACAGAGUAUAAAUAGUCGAAGGAGAACAACAUUCGAGGCCUUAAUGAAUCAGCACCGAUGAAUCGAGUCCUCGUGGAAAUGUAUGGUUCCAGGAUAAUUGAUUAUGUUCAAAGUGGCCCAUACAACAUUCACCUUUUUCUAAAGCCAGUCGGGAUUGCUUUGACAUUAAAUAUUAACACAACCGAUUGACAUUUGACAGAUAGUUGUUACCCACUUUUAAUUAUUACAGCAAAGACUUGGUGACGAGGGACAAUGGAUUAAUAUGAGGCCAACAUCCAGAAAGAAUCCAAACACCAAAUAAAUCGAGCUUUGGAAUAAUCUUUGUAUCAAACUUGUGUAGUAUAUCAUUUCUUGGGGGGAUGGUUUUGCAGAGAGCAACAACAUAUUUGAAUGGAGAGAUUUAUUGAAUGGAAGUACGAAGAAAUUCUAGAAGAAGCAUAUAAGAUGUCAACAUAAUCGCCAUAUCCGCGAAUUUAAACUAAAACAUUGCCUACCUUCGUGUUUGUAUGAUGGCUUUACGAAUCAAAGUAUUCUUCUUGAACUAUUGUAGCAUGGCUUGAUACUUCGUUGGAAAAAGACUUGGAACUACAGAAGUGGCUUUAUGUUUGCUCACCCACACAUGACGCGCUAUAACCUAGCAAAAGUUUUAAAAUAUUAUUUAUCUAUUUGGUACUUUAAUAAGGUCAUUGUGUACAUCAUUGUUGAUUUAUUUUAUUUUAUUUUAUUUUAUUGACAAAAGGGUGGAUCUCUUUUGCAAAAAUGUCAUAGUUAUGAGGUCGAUUGUAACCGUAAAACAUUAACACUGGGCCCACUUUCAUUUUUUUGUUUAAUAUGCUUAAAAUUUUCCUUUUAUAUAAAAUGUUUUGAGUGAAUUUGAGGAAUUUUAUAAAUUGAUUAGAAUGUUUGAUUUUUUGUUUGUUGAGAUUGAUGGCUUGAAAAUUAGAAAAACAGAAAGAGUUUAAAAUUGUAGUUAAAAUUAAUUUGAGAUGGUUUCAAGGUGCACAAAAAGUUAUUUUCUUCAUCUUUAUAGUAUUUUCUAUUGAUUUUUGCAUGUUUUUAUAAAUUAUUAGAAGUUGUAAAUUUUUAAAUUUUUUUUCCAAAUUAUAAAAUAAAAUCUAUUAAAGGAUCUCUUAACCCUAAUAAAAACUUAUAAUUUUUCAUCAAAGAAACAUAUCAGUCAACUUUUCAAAUGUUAAGAGAUUUGAAAUUAAUUUGUCGUGACAAUUAAGGGAUCAUAACAAAAGGGCUAUUUUGGAAUGAAAUUAUUUUUACUCUCUCAUAACUAAUUUUUAAUGAUAUAUUUUGAAUUGAAUUGAUAAUGUUACAAAACUUUAAAAAUAAGGGAGGCGAAUAACAUUUUUAAACUUUAAAGAUACUAAGUGAUAUUGUCAGAAACUUAUAGUUAUAGAGGAGGUUUCUGAAAUUAUCCCAUGAUCAUAUAUAUGUUCUGCCAACUAGUUGGCAUAUGAGGUUGGCAGACAAGUUCAUUUCCAAGCAUGGACAUAGUUUGUUAGGUUAAAACAAUUGCAGCAAGUCCUGCCCUGCCCAAAGGGUUUGUUUAGGUAUGGAAUUCUUUGCAAGAAAAUUUUUUGAUUGUAAACACAUUAUUAUUAUUUUUUAAAAUUAUUUUCUAAUUUCACAUCUAUCAUAUCAUAAAAAUUAUUAUAGUAUUAUUAUAAAAAGAAUUCUGAAUAAUCUCAUGUGUAGGUUUUUCUCUGUGGUUGCAAGACACUAUAGAUGAAUAUUUUGAAUGUUUGAUUUGUACCCCUUUAAUUUUGUGUUUGAUACUAAGCUGAGACUUGGGGUCUUUUCAUUUCAUUUUCUUCUUCUUCACUGGAAUUUAUUUUAAAAACACAAUGAUAAAUACAAAUAUAAAAAUUCUUGAAAAAUUAAGAAAUAGGUUAUAUUUAUCGUAUAAGUUGAUGUGUCACUUAAAAGUAGAUUUUUCUUUUCACUAAAACUAGAGACUUGAUCAACAUACGGUCAUGUACAACUGUGCAACAAAGGGAUAAGCAGAGCUCCAUAGACUCGCUAAAUUGCAGAUUCAUGAACGAUCAAGAAGGGAAAAAAGCAGCAUCCCCCCAGUCGUCUCCCAGCACUACUUGGGUUUUCAUCAUUCCUCCCUAUUACCACCGGUUUGAUAAGGCCACACACUUUACAGCCCAAGAAGCAAUCUAAAGGAGAGAAAUGCUGAAACGAUCAUCUAUAAGUACUAUAAUAGAAAGAUGCUUUUAUUAACUAGCAGUUGGAUUGGAAGACAAACUUCAAAAACCUCGUCCAAGUUUUCUGGGUAAUCUACCAAUUUUUGGGAAGCACGGACGCCUGAAAAGAUGUAUAGGUCCUAUCAAUCAAGAGAAUACCAAGCAUCCGUCAGUUGAGUAAAGAUAAAGCAGACUAUUAAGUCCGCAGAAGUUAUUCAAGCAGCUGCUCACAACCAGAAGACUUCUAACAAUGAUUACUGAGAUCAACUAGUGGCUUUUAUUACAGGUGUUACAGGCGAGGUACAACCUUGCAUCAUAAAAUUCCUCGGAGAUGACGAGUACACUUGUUCCAUUUCCAUGAAAUAUCUGGGGAUUGCGACAGCUCAAAACCGAGACUUCAUAUCAAAAGAGUUGGAUAAAAGUUAGAAGCAAUUCAUCCUUUAGCUCAUCAAAGUAGCUGAUAUGUGGUGGAAAAAUUUACCGAGAAACGCCUUUUGAAGGCUUCUGCAAGCUCCUUUGGGUCACGUUUUGUCACUUCAUAAGCCUCAAUCUUGUUAAUCUCCUGUAGAAGUAAUUUAACUAGGUUAUAACAAUCAACUGAAAGGAAGUACUUCUGUUACCUGCUGUAAGGGUGCCGCGUGCUAUAAAAGACGUACUCUAUCAUAAUAAAUGAUGUAUAAACCAUCACAGAGAAUACCAAAUCAAAAUCAAUGCUGAUUAAGAAAAGAAUUUAGUUUUGCAGAAUUGAUCAAGGGGUGGGUUAUUGAACCAACUUGCUUGUCUAAUAAUAAAAAUGGUGGAUAAUAUGUCCUAAAUCUCCCUGAUUUAAAAUCUAUUCAUGCAAUAUCCAGGUACAUAUGAGGUUUCUACAGAACGAAAUAUAUGUGAUUCUUUGUCGAUGAACGCUGCAAGUCAAACAUUACCAAGCUCAAAAAUCUCUUCCCCCCUAUCCAAGUUGCUUAUAUGAACACAAGAUCAUUACACUCAUGGAGGAUCACUAAAGAUUUUCAAGGACUGAAUGACAAGUAAAAUCGAUACUUUAUGCUGCCAUUUUUGGCCCGGUAAAUCUAUCCAUGUAGAACUAAAUUUUAUAGGCACCUGAAUCCAUGCUGCCAGUUUUGGCCUGCCCACUGUAAUAUCAUACUUCUUCACAUCCAACAAGAAGGGUUGAUACCUCUCAAUGAACGGAGCAUAAGCUAUAUCUACCUGAGAUUGCACAGAUGGAGCAUUUAGCACCCUAUGUUUGUUCAAUAUAUAGCAUGAAAUUUUAAAAAAUAAAAAAUAAAAACUCAAAAUCCAACCAACAUUAUAAAUCAUUUUCCAUUUGCAUAUCUGCUUCUUAUAACUUGACGGAAACACUUCAUUCCAAUCAUGGUGUUUAUCUCAAAUAUAAGUCCAAAGAUGAUACUUGCCAGACUAAAAGUUCCAAGGACAAAGGGACCAUCCCCAAAUUUGCCAAGGGCGUUCUCAAGGUAAUCAAAGGCAGCACCUAGUCAAACCACAUCCAUGGUAUCAAUUCUUCCAUGAAUUAUCAGUCAAAAAUCAUGAUCAUUGAUAUUACCAGCUUCACUAAUUGAAUCUGCCUUGAAAGAAGAAACCACAGCUUGAUUGAAGGAGUUGGUAUAGGACAGCAACUCUUCUGCAAACUCUCUCUUGGCUGGAUCCUACAGUUCCAGUUAAAACUCAAGCUAUUACAAAAUGCAGAUUAAUUAAGGAUCUUAAAGGAGCUCACUACAACUCAACAUUAUGAUGUUUAUGGAGAUCUUACGUCAGGAAGAAGUGAAGGACCUUCAAAGUUACCCUCCAGAUAUUUUAUCAGAUCAAGAGACUCUCCUUUAACUUCAUUAUUAUGUUCCAGAGAUGGCACCUGAAUGGGAAUAGAGCAGUAUAAGAUUCCUAAAGAAAUGUAGCAAUUACCAAGAGUAGUUGCGGUUGGUCAAAAGAGACUUUCUUUUCGACUUCAAGUGAACAAAUCAUCAAAUCCUGAUCAUUUGUGGGGCAGUUAAUGAUUCCAACUUCUGAUGCAAGGAGAGAUAUACAGUGCUUAAAGCAGGAAAUCAAUUCUGGCUGAGCAUGAUUAGUAUCAGAGAGCUAAUAUAGCAUAGAGCCAUUAGGUAAUCAACCUUGUUGGGUGGGUAAACUUUCUCCUUGUACCAGGCAGGCCUGUUCUGCAGGUCAAUAGGGAUCAGUUUUAUCUUAUCCUGCAAUCCCUACUCCAGAAAAGCGUAGAAACACCAAUUCAGUAACUCCAAAAAGUGUUACAGAAAAAUCAAAUCAAGUCCCUAGAACAAGGAUCGGGAACAGCUCCCCAAGCAACCUUAUAGUUCCUUGUAAUCCAUACACGUUGCGCAUAAGGGCAUGUGUAAGAUAUGUACAACCUAAAACCAAUGAAUCAAAACAUAAAAAAACGUCAAACUUAUGUGAAUAUAAUGACUGAAGGUAGUUCAAAUGUUCUAGAAAUAACUAAAUUUUGAAUUUGCCAAUUCCUCAUCUCAACAGUAGGAUAUUGCAUCCAUGUACAAUAUCCGACUCUCUUCGUCGAAGAUUUAAUGAGUUUUUUGUUCUCAAACAAAAUCCCAAGGACCAAAACAGCUUUAAGAUGGGAAUUAUGUUUCGGUAUUUCAGCAUAAAGUAAGUUCUCGAUUGGCAUAUUACAUUGCUCGAAUUGAGAAGUUGAGUAAUUUUAAUGUCCAAAUUCCAAGCCCAUGUAACAUGAUAAGGAAUGUCGGCAAAAUCCCAGAAGUGCAGAUAAGAGAAAUUGGAGCAAGUGAAAAUUUUUUAUCGACAAUUGGAAGUUUUAUGAUUUAAAUACUAGAUAACAAACAUACUGAAACAAGGAGAACAGUUAAAAAGACUUACUUGGUAGUACCAUCAAAGAUGGCAGGUGGUUCUGAAGAAGAAUCAAGAGCAGGUGGAAGCACCUCUUUCACACUUCAAAAUACAAAACAUCUCACCAUAAGCAACAGAAUCCCAAAAAUAAAAGCGGAAAAGAUGAACUGAUAGAGAUUCGAUUACCCAGAAGACAUUGCCGAAGCGGAUAGUGGAGAAAUUCUUGAAAAUUUAACAUGCGGGUGAAUAUUUCGAGGGUAUCUUAAUGGGUUUUUGGGUACAGAGCAUAUAGAGAAAACAGAAGGAAAUGUGAGGCGCGGAUUAGCAGCUGAUGAAGUUGGUAAGCUUACACUAGUGCCAGGUGUAGCAGCUGCCAUGAUCACAGAUGAACUUCAAAGUGGCCAUGUCGUGUUAAUUUAUGUCUCUGUUGGGCAAAUUCCACUUUACCCCCUGUGGUUUAACUUUUUUUGCAUAACCCCUUAUGGUUUCAAAAGCUAUACAUAACCUCCCUCGUGGUUUAGAUUAAAGUGUCAAAAUGACGGAAAUGAUCAUUCUUAACGGAGUCACCUAAAAUAUAAAAAAUACCUUUAUGUAAAAUUGAAAGUUAUUUAUUAAUCAAGGGGGGUUAUGUGUAUAUUUUGAAAACCAUUAGGGGGUUAUAUGGUAAAGUAUUAAAUCAUAAGGAGCUUAUCUAGUAAAAUAUAAAAAUUAUAGGGGGUGUCAUGUAUUUAUAAGGGUAAUUUCGACAUUUCUAGAAGUUCCGUUACAAUGACUAUUUCCGUUAUUUUGACACUUUAAUUCAAACCAUGAGAGAGGUAAUAUAAAAAAUCGCUAAAUCAUAGGGGGGUAAAAUGUAAUUUGCCCGUCUCUAUUUUUUAAUUUUUGGAUUGGCUUAUGAAGUGCGGAACUUUCUCUUGGAAUCUUUAUUCAAGGGGUGUUUGGUAAAUGAGUUUCAACUCCCAUUAGGUGUUUCAAAUUCAAUUAUACCUAUACAUGAUGUUUGCUUAGGGUCAAUGGAAUAAAUCAAUGGGAAUAAUAGGCUUAUUUCAUGGAUUUUAUGAUUAAUCACCUCUCACUAGAGAAUCAUCUUAACUACCCAUUUUACUCUACUUAAAGGUAAAAACACCCAUCUUAUUUUCCUUGAAUGUAAAAAUAAGAAAACAAAAUGCCACCGUUUGUGCUGGUUUCAACAAAUGGAAAAAAGAAAAAAGAAAAGUAAUAAAUUGUAAAAUCCAUUUCACAUUAACAAACACACUAUACUAUAGGUUUUGAUCAAAAUUCAUUAUCAUUGAACACUCUGUGACACCGAUAAUAAUAGUGAUUGUAGAAUUUGAAUCAAACGGCUCUCAAAUCAUUAAUAAGAUUGCCGGUAUUUCUUGCUCCCAGUGCCAAAUGUCACGACACAGUAGCGUAACGCUAAAACUCAGUAAAAUGAUAAACCCUGGCCACUACACGCCACUCGUUUGGUUGGGAGGUUUCGCACUCCUUAAUGGGAAUGAGAUGGUAGCGUUCUCCUUUGAUCAUGUUUGAUACAUUACUAUGGGUAUUUUCAUUGCCUACUUUUGGAUCUUGCAAACUCAAAAACUCACUAAAUUGGGAACUGUCAGUCUGAUAACCCACUUUUUAGAGGAAAAUAAAUCAAAAUUGAACUUAGAGAUUGUGAAGAAUCCGGAAAGGAAGAGCACGGGUGAUACAAAUUAUCCCCUCCUUGCUGGUGCAGGUUGCCCUCCCAAUCGGCUUCAUCCCUCUCGCUCGUCGAGGGAAAUGAUGCUUAGAGUUGUCUUUGUCCAUGUAUUGUUAGAUUUGAAGCAAAUUUGCAUUGAUUCACACCUUGCACAACAGCAGCAGUUGCUCCUAAAGUCUACCUGUUCAAUCGUCUUUUGCUCCUAAAGCUUCACCAUGGCUCUUUUUUUUUUCCGAAUUUUCUUAGUUUUCGCUCGAGUUUACCUAUAUAGAAAGCAAUUUUAAAAACACGAUAUGCCUCUACAAUAAAUACAAAUAUGAAAACUCCAAACAAAUUAGAAAAUGAGCCAUCAUUUCGUUUGCGUUUAUCGUGUAAGUCAAUAUAUCGCUUAAGAGUAGAUUUUUCUUUUCACUAAAACCAAGGCUUGAUCAACAUAUGAUAUGGUUAUGUACAACUGUGCAACAAAGGGAUAAGCAGAGCUCCAACGACUCAUUAAAUUUCAGAUUUAUCAUCCAACAAGAAGAUAAAAAGGCAGCAUCCCAAUUGUCUCUUAGCCCUAUUUGGGUUUUCAUCAUUUCUCCCUAUUACCACCUCUUAAUAAGGCCAAACACUUCACAGACCUUGAAGUAAUCUAAAGUAGAUAGAAAUGCUGAAACCAUAAUCGAUUAGUACUAUGAUAUAGAAAGAUGCUUUUAUUUAACUAGUACUCGGAAGACGAACUUUAAAUCCUCAUCCAAGUUUUCUGGGUCAUCUACCAAUUUUGGGAAGCCCGGACACACUAAAAGAUGUUCAGGUCCUAUUCAGAGAAUACCAAGCAUCCGCCAGUUUAGUUAAGACAGAGUAAACUAUUAAGUCCGCAGAAGUUAUUCAAACAGCUGCUCACAACCAGAAGAUGUCUAACAACGAAUACUGAGAUCAACUAGUGGCUUCAUUAUAGGUGAUAUAGGCGGGGUAGAAUCUUGCGUGAUAAAAUUCCUCGGAGAUGACAAGCAUGCUUGCCCCAUUUCCAUGAAAUAUCUGGGGAUUGCGAGGGCUCAGAGCUGAGACUUCGGAUAAAAGUUGGAAGCAAUUCACCCUUUAGCUCAGAUUCCUCACAAAGUAGUUAAUAUGUGGCGGAAGAUUUUACCUAGAAACGUCUUUUGAAGGCUUCUAUGAGCUCCUCGGAUCACAUUUUGUCACUUCAUAAGCCUCAAUCUUGUUAAGCUCCUGCAGAAGUAAUUUAACUAGGUUAUAACAAUCAACUGAAAGGAAGUACUUCUGUUACCUGCUGUAAGGGUGCCGCGUGCCAUAAAAGACGUACUCUAUCAUAAUAAAUGAUGUAUAAACCAUCACAGAGAAUACCAAAUCAAAAUCAAUGCUGAUUAAGAAAAGAAUUUAGUUUUGCAGAAUUGAUCAAGGGGUGGGUUAUUGAACCAACUUGCUUGUCUAAUAAUAAAAAUGGUGGAUAAUAUGUCCUAAAUCUCCCUGAUUUAAAAUCUAUUCAUGCAAUAUCCAGGUACAUAUGAGGUUUCUACAGAACGAAAUAUAUGUGAUUCUUUGUCGAUGAAUGCUGCAAGUCAAACAUUACCAAGCUGAAAAAUCUCUUCCCCCUUAUCCAAGUUUCUUAUAUGAACACAAGAUCAUUACCCUUGUGGAGGAUCACUAAAGAUUUUCAAGGACUGAAUGACAAGUAAAAUCGAUACUUUAUGCCGCCAUUUUUGGCCUGGUAAAUCUAUCCUCAAUUUGCAUGUAGAACUAAAUUUUAUAAGCACCUGAAUCCAUGUUGCCAGUUGUGGCCUGCCCUCUGUAAUAUUGUACUUCUUCGCAUCCAACAAGAAGGGUUGAUACCUCUCAAUGAGCGGAGCAUAAGCUAUAUCUACCUGAGAUUGCACAGAUGGAGCAUUAAGCACCCUAUGUUUGUUCAAUAUAUAGCAUGAAAUUUUAAAAAAUAAAAACUCAAAAUCCAACCAACAUUAUAAAUCAUUUUCCAUUUGCAUAUCUGCCUCUUAUAACUUGACGGAAACACUUCAUUCCAAUCAUGGUGUUUAUCACAAAUAAAAGUCCAAAGAUGAUACUCACCAGACUAAAAGUUCCAAGGAAAAAGGGACCAUCCCCAAAUUUGCCGAGGGCAUUCUCAAUGUAAUCAAAGGUAGCACCUAGUCAACCACCUCCAUGGUAUCAAUGCUUACAUGAAUUAUUAGUCAAAAACCAUGAUCAUUGAACUUACCAGCUUCGCUAAUUGAAUCUGCCUUGAAAGAAGAAACCACAGCUCGAUUGAAGGAGUUGGUAUAGGACAGCAACUCUUCUGCAAAGUCUCUCUUGGCUGGAUCCUACAGUUCCAGUUAGAACUCAAGCUAUUAUAAAAUGCAGAUUAAUUAAGGAUCUUAAAGGAGCUCACUACAACUCAACAUUAUGAUGUUUGUGGAGAUCUUACGUCAGGAAGAAGUGAAGGACCUUCAAAGUUACCCUCCAAAUAUUUUAUCAGAUCAAGAGACUCUCCUUUAACUUCAUUAUUAUGUUCCAGAGAUGGCACCUGAAUGGGAAUAGAGCAGUAUAAGAUUCCUAAAGAAACGUAGCAAUUACCAAGAGUAGUUGCAGUUGGUCAAAAGAGACUUUCUUUUCGACUUCAAGUGAACAAAUCAUCAAAUCCUGAUCAUUUGUGGGGCAGUUAAUGAUUCCAACUUCUGAUGCAAGGAGAGAUAUACAGUGCUUAAAGCAGGAAAUCAAUUCUGGCUGAGCAUGAUUAGUAUCAGAGAGCUAAUAUAGCAUAGUGCCAUUAGGUAAUCAACCUUGUUGGGCGGGUAAACUUUCUCCUUGUACCAGGCAGGCCUGUUCUGCAGGUCAAUAGGGAUCAGUUUUAUCUUAUCUUGCAAUCCCUGUUCCAGAAAAGCGUAGAAACACAAAUUCAGAAACUCCAAAAGGUGUUACAGAAAAUCAAAUCAAGUACCUAGAACAAGGAGUGAGAAGAACUCCCCAACCAACCUUAUAGUUCCUUGUAAUCCAUACACGUUGCGCAUAAGGGCAUGUGUAAGAUAUGUACAACCUAAAACCAAGGAAUCAGAACAUAAAAUAAUGUCAAACUUAAACAACUAUAAUGAUUGAAGGUAGUUCAAGAGUUUUAAAAAUAACCAAAUUUUGAAUUUGCCAAUUCCUCAUCUCAACAGUAGGAGAUUGCAUCCAUGUACAAUAUCCGAUUCUCUUUGUUACAGAUUCAAUGAGUUUUUUGGUCUCAAACAAAAUCCCAAGGACCAAAACAGCUUUAAGAUGGGAAUCAUGUCUUCGCAUUUCAGCAUAGACUUCUCAAUUGGCUUAUUAUAUUGUUCGGAUUGAGAAAUUGGGUAAUUUUGUUGUCCAAAUUCCAAGCCUAUAUAACAUGAUAAGGAAUGUUGGCAAAUUGCCAGAAGUGCAGAUAAGAGAAAUUGGAGGGAGUGAAAAUUUUCGAUUCACAAUCGGAAGUUUUUAUGGUCUAAAUACUGGAUAACAAACAAACAUACUGAAACUCUCCCUGUAUGAAAGCAGGAAAAAAAAUUUGCUAAAUUUCCUCGCUGCAGAAGUAUGAAGCAUCUACGAACAGAGAAAACAGUAAAAAAGACUUACUUGGUAGUACCAUCAAAGAUGGCAGGUGGUUCUGAAGAAGAAUCAAGAGGAGGUGGAAGCACCUCUUUCACACUUCAAAAAAAAAAAAAAAGAAAAAAAUCCCACCAUAAACAACAACAUCCUAAAAAUAAAACCGGAAAAGAUGAACUGAUAAAGAUUCGAAUACCGAGAAGACAUUGCCGAAGCGGAUAGUGAAGAAAUUCUUGAAAAUUUAACAUGCGAGUGAAGAUUUCGAGGGGAUCUUAAUGGGUUUUUGGAUAGAGCAUAUACUACACAGAGAAAGCAGAAGGAAAUGUUAGGCGCGGAUUAGCAGCUGAUGAAGUUGGUAAGCUUACACUUGCACCAGGGUGUAAUAGCAGGCAGGACCAUAUGGAUUACAGAUGAAGAUGGAAGUUCAAAGCGGACAUGUCGUGUUAGUUUACGACUGUUUUCUGGAUUGGCUGUCUUAGGUGUGGAAAUUUCACUUGGAAACAUUAUCGAAGUCAUUACAUCAGAGAUGCCGCCGCUCCCAAUGGCGAAUGGCACGACGCACAACUGUAACACUAAAACAUUUACCAUCCGAUUGGUUGGUAGGUUUUGCUCUCCUUAAUGGGAAUAUGAUAGGAUAGUGAUCCUUAUCGAUUAAUAUGUUUGGUACACCCACAAUAGGUAUUUCAUUAUCCACUUUUAAGUCUUCCAAAUCCAAAAAUUCAUUCUCCACUAAAUUGGGCGGGGCACUAUCAGCUUGAUUACCCAAUUUUUAGGAGAAAAUAAAUAAAAAUUAAACUUAAAAAUUGGGGAUAAUUUCAGAAUUCAGACACCUCUCUUGAGUUUUCUAUAAUUAUAGCCACCUCCAUUAAGGUUUGAAAAAUUACGAAAAUCUCUUCUAGAAUGUAUGUUUUGGUAACAAUUGAUGAUGUAAGCCAAAAAAAAAAAAAAAUCUAAUGAAGAUCCAAUAUUACCUUUCUCUCAUAUGUAAAAGAAAUUAAAUACUAAAAAAGUCAACUAUCACCAUUAUUUGUUAGGUGAAAUUUUCAAGUUAGUUUUUUGCUAAAAAAAUUCAAGCUAUGUUUUGAAAGCAUCUUGUUUUUGGUACUUUGGAUUCUUUUUUUUUUUUUCAAAGCUCAGUCGUCACCAAAAAAGUACUAAGUCUCUCUUUGAGUUAUAGAUUGGAAAUUUGAACCCCACAUGUAAUGGAAAAAAUCUAAAAGAGGUGUCAAAGCACUCCUUUAGUCUAGUCAGGUUCUUAUAUCUACUAGAAAAAGGAUUCUUUUUUUUCUUUUUUGUUAAGUAAUUUUUGAAGAUACUUAUUUUAACAAAUGCCUCUCUAAUUGGUUAGUCGAUUUUUUGUAAAUUGAUUAAGAAAUUUAAUAAAAAAAUUUGGAGAUGAAGUAUAAUAUACUAGAUUAGAUGAUGUUAGAAUUUUAUAAUAAAGAAAUAUUACCAAAAAAGGAUUUCAUUUUUCUCUUUUAAACUCAUUUUUCACUUAUAAUUUGUAGAGUAAAAAUCCUGGGGAGCCCUUAAACUAUUACUGUUGUCUAUUUUUGGCCCCUCAUCUAAAUUUUGUUUCCGAUUGGGUCUUAAACAAUUAAAACUGCAUAUUUUAAGGAUUUCCGGUGACUUUAGGCAUAAAUUUGGCCGAUUUAAAGGGUAUUUUUGUCCAUUCAUAAUUGAACCUUCGAGACCAGCAUCAGAAACCCUCAAAGAGGCAACUCUUUAAUUUUUUAAGCACACCAUUAGAUUUUUCUUCACAAAUCCUGUUUUAAAAAAAGCACACCAUUAGAUAUUUCUUCACAAAUCCUUACCCUCAAAGAAAUAUGCAUUCCGUGCCUUCUAUAGGAACCAACAAACAAAAACAGGAAGAACUCAAAAGACAAAAGCUGCCUGAACAUUACGAAUUGAAGAGAGCCACCACUUAACCAAAUGACAAUGAAUACUAAGUCCAGGAUCAAAUAUACCUGCAUCAAACUCAAAAAACUUUCAUAUAUUACGAGCAACAUCACUGGUGGAAAAAAAACACAUCAUUAGAUUUUUCUUCACAAAUCUUGUAAAAAAAAAAAAAAAAACACACCAUUAGAUUUUUCUUCACAAGUCUUGUAAAAAAAAUUGAAAGGUUACCUCUUUGGAGAGUUUCUGAUGCUGGUCCCGAAGGUUCAAUUAUGAAUGGACAAAAAUGCCCUUUAAAUCCGGCCAAAUUUAUGCCUAAAGUAUGCAGUUUUAAUUGUUCAAGAGCCAAUCAGAAACAAAAUUUAGAUGAGGAACAACGGCAAUAGUUUAGGGGCUCCCUCAGGUCUUUUAUCCUAAUUUGUAAAGUUUGUGAAGAAUAUCACAGUCUUUCUAUAGCACCAAGGGAUAUAAGUGUAAUUUUUCAAAUUGUAAGGAAGGUGGCCGCAAUUAUUAGAAAUGUGAGGGGAGGUUUCUGAAAUUAACCGUAAAAAUUGUGAAGAAUCGGAAAAGGAAGAGCAUGGCUGGCACAAGUUUUCUCCCUCCUUACUGGUACAAGUUGCCUCCCCUCUCCGUUUCCCCCUCCCAAUCAGAUUUGGGGCAGGGACGGUCAUCAGUAUGACCGUCCCUGCACGGUUAAGGGCCAAGAUUUGCCCUCAAAUUUUUGUACGACUGAGAUUACACCAUGUAACUCGAUUUCCGCGCCAAGUGUGGGGCCCACCACUAUCUGUUGUGAAAAUACAUCCUGUGAAAAAAAAGUUACACGAUGUACAAAGAAAGUUACGCGCAGUUGAUAAUGACCAAAAUUGCCCGGGACGGUUGCACCUGCAACCGUCCGUGCCCCGAGUCCCUCCCAAUCAGCUCCAUCCCUCUCUCUCAUCGGGGGAGAUGGUUAGAGUCGUCUUUGUCCAUAUAGUGUUAGAUUUGAAGCAAAUUUUCAUUGAUUCACGCCUUGCACAAUAGGAGCACUUGGCAAAUUGAAUGUGGAUUUUUACUUGGAAAAUUUGUAAGUUUUGGCCCUUUUGGAUAUGAUGCAGACUUCCUUUCUGAAGAAAUUUGAGAGUGAAAGUAAUUGGAUUUGUACGCAACAUUGGAAAUUGGGAUUGAUGAGGAUUUCCCUUUUGAAGGAAUUUGAAGUUGGAAUUGAUUGUGUUUCCCUGUGACAUUGGAUAUCAAACGGGUGGUUAAGACCUUAAAGCUGAAACUACUAUUUUUUUUAUAUUUUUAAAAAUUAUCAAAUAGGGUGAAAUUGAAGAAAUGAAAAGGAAAAAAUAAGAGAUUUGAAUCCGAAUCUUCAAUUCUUAAAACUUCAAUUACUAGACCAAAACUUGCUUAGUACCUAUUAAAGAUAAAUGGCCCAAUGAACCCUUAUUCUCCUGACAUACAUGACACGAGGUUGUAUGCCAUUUAUUAGACCUUCUUUUCGUUAGUGGGCUCUUCUUAUUCCAUCCAACACAAAUUGAAAUAAUCUCAUUUGGGAUCCAAUGUCAAUCAGGCAUUCCAAAGAUGAUACGAAACUUUUUUACCUGGCAUUGCAACCCUUUGAUUGAUUCCAUAAGCUAUAAUGAGUCCUUUGCAUGUGUAGUGCCAGGAUAGUGAUUACAUUCAAAGCGGCCUCUUCUACCUUUGUCUUUGUUUUGGCAAAUUGUGGUUUAAGUUGCCGAAAUUCGAAUCAGAUACACAUGCAGACUUUGAAUCUUGAAACUAGUAAGUAUAAAAUAGAGUUAGGUUCUAAAGUCAUGUACUGGAAAAUUAUUUUAAUUUCGGGUAAUGUUAUAUUGUAGGUGUUUGUAGCUCCGUCCAACAAACAUUCUGAUUUGUUGCACUUUGCCACCAAGGCUACGAAUAGUUUUCACCCUCUGCAAAUUUUCAAGACAAUGGAGGAGAAACAAUGUAUAGUAAUACUGGCAAGGUAAAGCUUUUUCUUUGCAGACUCGUUUGUCCGCCAAUUUGUUUGUAAUGCAUUCUGCCAAUGCCGACAUUCUUGGAAAAAAGAGCAAUGCUAAGGUGAUUUGGAGCAAAUCCAAGAACUAGUAACAUAAGAAAGAAUUAAAUGUACCUUGAUAAUGACUCUCAAAAAGAUUGCUUUUCCCCUUGGGAUUGAAAGGCCCCUUUUCAUUGCGAUGCGAUUUAUCAAGAAAGGAACAUAUUAUAGGGCCACAAUAUACAAUUCAAAAGAUCAAUCCCACCCCCAAGUUCAUUUUUUAUGAUAAAAAGAUUCAAGUUUUGCACAGAAGACGUUACCAAGAAGUCAUGAAGUUUCAUUUCAAAGAUCACUUAAAAGAGAGUUACAUCCCAAAUACUCUGGUGUAUACAUCGCCUGAACUGGGCAUCUGGAACAUUAAAUCUCCAUAUCCAGAAAGGUACUUGUUCAACCCUAGUUUCUCACUUCUUUGAUGUUCUGCAAUGGCAGCUUCAUUUCUCCGUUGGACUUCAUCCAAACUUUGCUGAUAGCCAUUAGAGAUGUACCCAUUUCCAAAUUUCUGCUGCGAUAAUUGUGCAAAAGAAGAUUCAAAUGAUUGACACUGAUCCAUCAGUCUUGACGGACACCCAUAUACAUCACCUGAACUAGAUAACUCGACCCCAGUAUGGCCAGGAAACCCCAUGUCUUUAUGCGUGGAUGUUUGCUGGAAAAAGAUUUGAGAAUACUUCGAGUCCUGAUCAGCCCUUGCCUGUUGUUGCAUCAGAAGCUGAAGUCUCGUCUCGUUGUCAAAUUCGCCCAUCUGUUGAUUAACAGCUGGCCUCGUGCUCAAGCCUGAGAUAUUCAAUCCAUUUGUUGGUUUGCUAUCACCACGGCUCAAUAUUGCAGGGUCAAGAAAAUCAAUAUCAGAAUUACUACCAUUAUUUCCUGCCAAUGGCAUUUGAAGCAAAUUGUUUGGCAAUGAUGAAGUAUUAACAAAACUUCCUGCAGACAGAAAGGGGUAAAGAAACAUUAUAAGGGACAAAAUUCAAAAAGGUCAAUUAGUAAUACAACCUCAAGACAAGGAGGAUGGGAGAGGGGGAUGGACAAUGCAGUGACAUACCAGAAGAAGUACGAGGAAAUCCACCUGUCUUCUCAUAUGCAGAGAAACCAGGAGGUGCUUCUCUGGAGGGCAUUGAGAAUCCAGGCGGAACCAAACUUGGAGGCCUGCAUGCUGUUAAAACAGACAGUUUACAUGAUAUCCAAUAGCACAAAAACCAAAUGCAGUGAACUAUUUUGGUUAACACAGAGCCAAACUAGUGUACAAAUGCUCAAGCAAAGAGAUAUAAAUGCACACACUCCCAAAUUAAACCUUCCAGUUCCUGCUAAUAGACAUUUCUCGAUGCUCCAAAUUAUAUUUCCACCAUGGUUAAGUUGACUGGAAAUUUCAGUGUGCAACCCAAACAGGUGGAUAGCGAUACUAGCUACACUACUCUGGUAAUAAGGAAACGCCUUAAAAAUAACAACAGUUUAUUAACCAAAAAGAUUUCAGUAAAAACUCACACCCAAAAGAAAGUGCAGAAUCAAAGAAUUGUAGUAGCAUUGAGUCUGAAGACUCAUAGAUGAUGUGAUCCAAAAUAACAGAAAUCAAGUACUGCAAGAAACUCUGAUACAUAAGCCACUGACAUUGAAUAACAGUAAAGCUUUAAAAGCAAAAUAAAAGAAAUUAAUAGAGAAAGUGUAUAGGACUAAUAUGGUAACUUAACAGUCACAGAGUCAACGAAACUGUGAAAAUGAUGUAUCUCGAAGAUGAAAAACACAUCAAAAAAACAAACUUGCACAUAAGCCCGUAUAAAGAAGAUGCAUAUGUUUGUAUACUAAGAAAAGACAGUGACACACACACAAACUGACACGCUCACCUAGGCAGAUCAUUAAGCAUGGCAAAACUUUUGAAUAGACCAGUGAAGUUUACAACAUCACAACUUUCAGCACAAAGUAUUAAGAAGAAUAGCUUCACUCUAAAAUCUGCAAAAAGCAAGAAGCCUUCUAGGUGGUGAAAUGGACUGUUUUCUGCAUUCUAUUAAAGUCGCAUAACUUGGCUAAUGUAACAAAUAUGCCAAAGUGUAAGAUGAACAAAUAGAACUUAUAGUUCCAAACUUUCCCAAUUAAUUAAGAAUGAUGAGCUCUGCAUCCUAAAGACACACAACAACAAACUAAUCAAACAUCAACUGAAUCAAAAGAGUGUAUAAACUAAUGUUUACCUGGAUGCUGAGGCUUAGACAAGUAAUGCUCCUUGGUAGUACAAUUUUGUGGCACCUGACCAAGGUUACUGUAGUAAGGCUCAAAGUUAGCUGCUUGACCUGCAAAGCCGAUUUGUUUUGCAAACAGAAACCCUGAUUCGCCACUAGUAAAAGAAUUCCAGGAUGAACCACGUUGGUCAUCAGUUUCAUGGAGUAAAUCAGUUAAACCAUGAGGCAAGCUCAAGGAAUCAUCACAUGAAUCUAGGUCGAUUGACAAAAUAUUUGAGAUAAUACUGCUCUCGACAGCAUCUAAAACACAAUUUUCAUCAUCAUUAGUUAAGUUCUCAUCUUCAAUCCUUCGCAAAUGCUCCACAAUUUCUUCAUUAGAGAAGGAGUUAGAACUCCGAUAAAUCCUAUCUGAUUUGACAGAAGUCUGGAAUUUCAACUCAUGCCUGUGGUCAUUUAAUACAGAAUUUACACAUGUAAAUGGUAAAGAGGCAUCAUCUUCAAGGCUAUGUACAGAACUUUGGUCCAUGCUGAAACUACUUGAACUAUGAGUCCUCCCAUGCUGUAGAGAAUGACCACCAGACUCCUCAGAAACCUGUGCAGGAUAAGUUGAAUGAUCAACGCAAGCCCUCUGACUCAAAUUGCUAUCCCUUGAUAGUAAGUUAUCAGAAGGCAUUCUAUCUUCACCAAAUGGCUCAUCCAAGAACUCCGUUGACUCUCCAUCCAAGGGUAGUCUAUCAAAAAGGUGAGCAGAAGAUGAAUAAGGCGAAGAACUUGAAUAUGUAUCCUCGACAUGAUUAGCUUUAUCUGUGGCUACUGAAGAUAAAUCAGAACAUAAAUCCAAUAUCCUUCUAUCCUCAGCAUUAUUCUCAUCUUUCUCUGGACCAGAACUACUAGACCGUCCAACAAUAUCUACAAAAGUUGUCUUGUUGGGCACCCCAAGGCCCCCAGCCAAGUGGCCACCAUAGACUGAAUCCUGUAAUCAUGUUGAAAUACCAAUUCCAAAUCAGAAAGGCAUACUCAGUCUAAAUACAACAAAUAAGAAGAUCCUGUCUUUAAGAAGUGGAAGAUAUUGUUGCUGUACAGGCAAAACUCAAGCAGCUCACUCUAUUCCCCACACCCCACCGCCCCCCCCCCCCCCAAAAAAAAAGGAGGAGGAGGAUAUGAGUGUAAAAAGUCAAGAAACAUUAACCAUGAAAGAAAAUUUAACCAGAAUUUCUUACACUGAAAGAACUUUUGGCAGUAGAUUUGCCUAUAAAGGAGCUGCUGCUAGUGGUCAUCUCUUCCACAGGAGGUGGCAAGAAAUUUCCUGAGCGCCUAAGCAUAUUAUUUGUAGCACCAGCAACCUCUUGAACUCGAUGCCUAGUCAAUCAAAUAUAUAAAGUCAAAACAAACAGCAAUGCAAAGACACCAGAGGUUGAAAGAAAAAAAACAUAUGGAGUUUUAAAAACGGGAAACAAGAAUGAUAAAAAGAUUUGAAGCACAAACCAGAAGUUUUUGAACAAGUAUUUGAAACUAGAAAGCAAAAACAGCAAAAAACCCCAUAAGGAAAAUAGCAAAAAGAUGAAUACCAACUAAAAAAGCCAGUUCUGACAAAAGAAUUAAGCCUUAGCUCACAAAAGAAGGCAAAAAUAAAUAUUAAUUCAUUCAUUAAAUAAAGAUGAGAUGUCUUAUAAAUCGAUACAUCAUCUGUCAGAAAAGAGAAGUGAACCAGAUUCUACCAAGUUACAUGGAAAUAUACCCCAUAACAAUUUUAACAAACUUGUACGAUCAGGAAAGAGUCAACAACCGCACAAGAGAAACUCAAGGAGUAUUAACAUGCUAUAACUGAAAUUCCAACAAGAAACACACAAACUAAGAAAGAAAGUUAUUUCAAAAUAACGAUCUACUCAACAAGUCGAGAAAAAGUCUAUUGUUAAAAACUAUAUCUCUUUGUAAUUUGAUCCUUUGUUUCCCCGUUAUCAGCGCUUCUUUGAUUGCCAUUACUUAAAAGCUUCAUCGUGUAACUGUUAAACCAAUCAAACUGGAGAUUUGCUUCUCCUACUAUGAGCACACAGGCCCCAAUUCAGGUCAAUAUGUAAGUAACCCAAAGAAAAAGAAAGUAUUUCAAUGCCAUAUAGAAUGAUUGGCGUGUUAUACCUUGUAUGAACUGCAGCUACCUCGUCCUUCCCAAAACUAUCUUCAUCAGCACCAAUUGUAUGUAAAUAUAAACAAGUAGGAUUACUGCAAGGCUGGGCCAAAAAACACAGAAAAGAAAAGGCAUUGUCAACAAGAAGCACUUAUAUUUAUCAAUGAACAAUAUUUGCCAGGGAGCAUCCGAAAAAAAAAAGAUUUUGCAUGAGAUACAACAUAGAAUUAUAGAUCUAUACCAUGUUUCUCAACCAAGCAUGGCAAUAUUUUGCAGUUCCAAAGGAUGCCCUGCACAAAUGAAGUUCCAAAUUGUAACUAUGGUUAAACUAGGAGGUAAUAAAUGAAGUUAAAAAAUGACAGGAAAAGGACAGGUUCUUACCUCAAGAACCUACCUUCCAGGACAAAACCAUGCACUGACUGAAUACAGCGUACAGCCUCCUCCUCUUUUGAAUAAGUCACAUAUCUGGGAUGAGGGAAUGGGUCAAAUGAAAGGAGAAUGAUAUCAAAGAAGGGUGAUAAUCAUAUUUGCAGGAACAAGAGAACAAAAUAAUUCAUCACCAUGAGAUGCUACUUAUGUAUUAAACAUGCCUAGACACCUUAAAUGGAACUGAAAAUGAGACAACCUUAGUUGAAAAAAACACCAGAAAUUCACAUGCAAAGAAAAAUCCCUCUGUUCUUGAUGUGAUGAUCCAACAACUUAACCUGUGAAAUCAGGUCUUAACUAUCACUUUUGAAUCCUCAUAACAUGACAUCAACUCAAUGGUGAUUAUGUAAGUACUUCACAUUUCAAUUUGCAAAGGUGUGACAUCCAUGAAGGAAUCAUCACGUGUCUCCCCCUGGUACUCCUCACUUGACCAAAAUUUCCUUUCACAGUUUUCAUGCACAUUGAUACUCCUCAAUAACAGACUCCAGAUGCUGGACCACCUCACUAUUAACUGGUCAAGAAAACUUUUGUAUUUCAUUGGAAAGCAAUAGUAAAAUAUAUUUUCCUUCUUCCUGUAAAUGAUUCUAUCUGGUCUCAAUUUCGAUCCCAUGACAAUAAAUGUUAACAGCAUCCUUUAAAUCGGGAAGCAAAUGGGCAAUGUAUGAGGUAUUUUUAACUUAACAAACCCCAAGUUAAUUGAUUAAUAACCACACCCACAGCCCACUCUACAAAACAUGCAACAACAGCUGUUGUAACAAUCCCUUUCAUAAAAAAUUUGUUUGAAGUUGCACCACUUGAGAUACAAGGACAUAAAAUAUAAAUUAAAAAAAAAACACUGAGUCCAGUCAAACCAUGUAUUUUACUUCAAUCAUUCACUCUCUUUUACUUUUCCAGGUUCUGUUACAAACACUAUCAAAUAAUCCUGCAGCUCUUUAAGAUGAGAACUAAUUAACUUACACACUACAGGUGUCAUGAAUGAAAUGCUGGAUUGCCCCACCAGCUGUCCGAGAUAGAGAAAUCUUAGAAACUUUCCCAUACUGACCAAAAUAUUCCUUCCUCUGUAAGAGCUGCAAGACUCAUGAUUUUCCAGAGAACAAAGAAAAUUAGAUAGAGUCUCAACAAAUAGUUUCUUCGAGGAAUACAUAUUUUGAAUAACUAUUUACGAAGCAGGACAGCCAAAUGAAAGACAACAUUAAGAUGGAUAAACUAAGAAACACAAAAAGGAGCUCCUUACAUCUUCAUCAGCAAGGUUAAGAGGUAGCCCAAUUACGUAGGCCAUUUUCCGUUGAAUCACCCUAACAUUUGAAAGAUCUUUCCUUACUUCAUUAGUUUUUGGCUUGGCCUUUGGUGGUUUACUUUUUCUACUAGAAUUCUUUGCCACCGCCCUAAUCAGAAUAAAAACAAGUGUCAGAUUUGCCUUUCAGACACCCAAAAGAAUGACUCCAGGCAUAAUGUAUAACAACCUCUCACAAUUUGCUUGCAUUGCAACAAUUUUAUCCUUUUCAUAAAUAGUCCGACAGGCAGGACACCGCCCUUCUGUCUCAUCUUUUUCUGCCAUGUCCAUUAUGUGAUGCCAACACCAGACACAGACCUAUUAGACAAAAACCAGCAUGAAUAUUCAAAAACAAAAAACCCAUGUGAAGUGUAUAUCGUUCAUCAAAAGUAAAAUUACACUCUUGAAUGGCUAUAGUAGCAGGUUAACGGACUAAUCAAUCAUUAAGUUCUUAUAGGCAUGUCCUCAGACGUGAAGAGAAAAAGUAACAAUCAAAGCAAAGGUAGACUCCAAAGAAUACGGCUUUUUAAUUAAAAAAGACCUGAAUUUAAUCAAUAACGCUUAACAGAUGAUAUAUUCAAGUGUGAAAUCUGAUUUUUGAAAAGGAAAAAUUUCAGUGUACAGGGAAGGUAAAUAAAAGAAGAAAAAGGCCUAAAAAUUUGUUGUCUCCAUAUAGAACAGUUCAUGAUGAAUUAGAGGGAGCUACGAGUUUUAGAUGAAUAUUUGCAUCCACGUCUGCCAAAGAUGAAUAAGGCAAAGAAAAAUUUUCGAUAUAAUCUUUUAGCAGGGGAGGGGAGGAAGGGAAGAACAGCAGAGGGGAAGCAAAAACAGCCAGUGAGAACUGAACUCAGUUCAAAGACAAGGAACAAAGACCCUUAACCGCUAGGCUAGUUUUGAUUCUCCCACCAAGACAAGGAAUAUACUAAAGAAGUAAGACAGACUCAGCCUCCGACAUGCCACAAUCAGCUCAUGUUUUUCUUACUCCAAUGAUCUUAUACCACUCCAAAGUAUGACAGCUACAUCAGAAUGAAAAAGCAAAAGGAACACGUGUCUCAGAGUUCCUCUUUGACCUAAUAGCUUUACAAUGUCAAUCAAACAUUACAAUAAGCUACAUUUGAUCAAUCUAGCUACUUUGCAGAAAAUGAAAUAUUUAACAUCAAUUUCCACAAAAGGUAAAAAGGAAUGAAUGAAAAUUUUCACACCUGAUAGCCACAUUUGCAAGGCUUGAAUUGCUGAUCCGUCCAGUCCAUCUCUUCUGCGCACAAAGGACAUCUUUUCUCUCCUUCGUUACUCAUGAUUGCCCCCCUUUCACCCCCGAAAAGAAAAAUAAUUUCAUUUCAGUUAACAGGUAAGAAUCCAACAAAAACAAAAAACGACAUUAAUACAAAAAAAAUCCUCACUUAUUUUCCAAGCCAUAGAAACACGCGUCAAUACAAUUCUCUCUUCACAAGCUAAUAAAACCUAUAAACCCUAAUUUCAACAAAUAAGGUGUUACAAUAAAACAUCAACAACCGAAAUGCUUAAACUUUCAGUUUCAGAUCAGAACCGCGAAAAUAAACACAUAUAGCAAAUAAAUCCACAAAUGGAGAACGAACGCCGCAAAAAGAAAUGUGAUUCACAACAUUUUGCACACCGAAAAACAAAAUACAACAAAAAGUGCAACGCAUUUCUCGAAUUCUAGGGCACAUGCAUUUCUAUUAGAAACGAAGGCACACAUUAACGUAAAUAAAUACAUCCAUAAAACGAAAGAAAAGCUAGGUCAUUUUGCAUUUCAAUCAUAGAUGGAAAUGGAAGAAAAAACUUACAGGGAUUUUGAUUUGCAGAGAGAGAGAGAAAGAGAGAGAUUAUGAGAGGGAGAAAGAGGAAAGACGCGAAAAACCAACACAGGAGAAGAGAGGUUUGAUUAGUCGGAGAGAAAGUCUGUACGGCACAAAGGAGGAUUGAAAGCCAUAGGAUGGAGACGGCCUUUUUAGUUUUUAUGGAUGCCCUUUUUUUAUUUUAUUUUAUUUUUAAUAAGUACUCCUACAAUACAAUUAAAUAGUCUUACACUUAAAAAAAGUACUCCUGUUUGGUUUAGUUCGGCAUUCUUUAUUAAACUUAUCUCUUUACUGCUACUUAUAUAUAUUUAUUUUGCUAUAUUCUAUUUUUGUUAUAUUAUAGUACUACUUUUUUUUCGUGGAAACAAAGCGGAGAAGGAUUGGGUGAGGGAUGGACCACCGAGGAUUUUGUUCGAGGGUCAAACUCAAUUAUUGUAUUUUUAUUUUUUCUUGAUUGUAAAUUACCGAUUGAAGGGGAAUUUACUUCUAGAAGACUAAUAAAGGUGCUUUUACCAUAAAGGCUUUUAAGUAUUAUGAAAGUUUUUUUAGGAUGUUUAGUAACUAAUUUUUCGUAAUUUAAAAAGCUUUGUUUGGAUUGCAUUUUUUUUGGAUUUUUUAUAGAAAAAUUACUGUAGCAAUUUGAUAUACGUGAGGUAAAAAUGUGAUUGAAAAAUGUGUCUACAAAAAACGUAGCAAUUUUUCAAAUAAAAAUUACAAUCGAAACGCACCCUAAAAGUAAAUUCAGUUUUCAAUAAUUUAAAAGUUUCAAAAAUACUUGUAUCGGAACUGCUUCUGUUUAUGGAAAACGUAGUAAUUUUUCAAAUAAAAAUUACAAUCCAAACGCACCCUAAAAGUAAAUUCGAUUUUCGAUAAUUUAAAAGGUUUUAAAAUACUUGUAUCGGAAUUGCUUCUUCGUACGCUACUGAAACCCUAAACGGGGUUAAUUAUAGCUAAUCCUAUUUUAUGCCCUAGAGAUACAGGACCAUUAGAGUACCAAAAAAGUGGGAUUGGUGGAUAUAUAAUUACUCCAGUCAUUAUCAACUGUUUCCUAAAUUUGGUAGACUUCCACAGAUAAAGUAAUACAAAAGCCAAAUCUUAUCCUGGGCAGGAAAAGAAGAUUCGGUGUAUUUAUGUCUGAUGUUAACUUAAAAGAAAGUUGUUGAGAUUAGUGGUGGAAAAUUCCUAGUGAUGUUGAGAUUAACAGUGGAAAUUUCCUAGUGAUUUUUCAAGUAGUCAUUGUUAACUAUUAAUAUGUAUGAUUUGUCAGAGUAACCAAAGGAAAUUAUGAAGGGAAGUAUUUUGCGCGGUUGUUUAAGAGUUAAUCUUGUAAAAAAAAAAAAAAACCCUAUGUUAUGAUUAAUCAAUUAAAGUUGUAAUUAUUUUACUAUACAAGGUUAAAAAAAAGGAAGGUCAAUAGUAUUAGUACUGUUAAAACAGCUCUAACCAACCACAGCAUCCUUCAUCAUUAUUGUUGAAAAUGACAUUAAUACACGGUCUUAAAUGUCAAAAUUAUCCCCAAAGUGCAGAUAAUGAUCAUUUUGCAUCAUAUUUACGGAGAAAUCUAUUCUAUUGGCUAUAAGGUCUUAAUUUUUUUGGAAUUGUUUUUGAAAUACACAUUUACUGUAGUAUUUGGAAUGUGAAAAACAAUUUUUCAAAAACAGAGGCAAAAACAAGGAAUCCAAACGGACUGAUAAUCUUUAAAAAAAAACUCUAGCAUUGUUUAAAAUUACAAAUUCCGUUUGGAUUAGCUGUUUUUUGGGGUGUUUUUGAAAAACUUUACUGUGGCAGAAUUUUUAGAGUAUAUUUUGAAAUAUUUUUAGAAAAUAUUUUGGAAUAUUUAAAAGUAGAAGAGUUUCUAGAAUAUAUUUCCUCGGCAAAAUAAGAUACAUUUAUAUCACUCACUUGUUAUUGAAAUGCCAUAUACAACCUUGUAACAUGUUAUCUCAUGUACGUCCUGCGUCCAAUUAUGUACUUUGAUGAAAUUACAAAUCCUAACUCUAAAUUCUGCCAUAACUCAAAUUUAGAAUUUUUUAAAAAAAUUUUAAAGGUAGAAAAUAUGUAUAGUUCAAUAAGUGCAGGUGUUUUUCAUCGAAAAUAUUAACAAACUCAAUAUACUCUCACCAUUUUCUUAUGAACAAAAUUUUGUUAACCAGUUUUGAUUAGGAAACUCCUCGAACAUACGUCAAACUCCAACUAUCGACAGCUAUUAUCCUUAUCAUUUCAUCAGUUCCGAUGCCCAUUACAAUUUAUAAUCACCUGUGCAUAAUUUUUCCUUGUGUGGAAUUACAUGUAAUAUAGUUCAAUUUGUUAAUAAUCAUAACCAUGAUUUAGUGGUACAAACGUUUCUUGAUAGUCUCCAUUUUGAUUUUUUUUUUCAAAAAGGCAAAAGGAAAAGAAGACGAGUUAAGGGUUCGAUAAUUAAUCGAACUCGAGACCUCGCAAUCAUUUAAUCAAUGUCUUCACUAAUUAACUUUGGAUUUUUAACCAGUCUUAACCUUAAAGCGCGUAUACGAGUUUUUGUGGUUUUCGAUUUGUGGCUAGUCACAUUCUAUUGCCGCGGUACUAAUAGAAAAGAACGUGUGUUCUUGUCAAGGUGCUUUGAUAAGGAUGGGUCGUUUGAUUGUCGUUUAUUUUGCCAAGGUGUUUUGAUAACAAUGUGUUAGCUUGAUUGGUGGUUGACUCAAGAAUCUCUCUCAAUGUUGCAUUUAGUUGUGGAAUGUUUUCAACAUUCACGAAAAUUUCCAAUAUUAUUUUAAUUGCAUUGAAGCAAUGACAGAUGAUUUUCUCCUUUUUCUAUUUUUUUUUUCCUUUCUUUCAUGUUUGUUGACAUAGUAUAAGGUUUAAUUUGGAAAUAAACCAUCACAUACUAGUACGCUAAUUAAAUAGCCCCUCACGGGUUAGCUCGUUUGGUCACGGUUUCUUCUUUAAGGCCGUUGUCCAGCCUCCCCACAAGGGUUCGAGUCCCGUGGUUACCAUGUUUGGGGGGAUGGGACCUCUCCUCCCGGAUCGGAGUGGGAUUAGUCGGGCCCCGUAAGAAUUGACGCGGACACCCAAUCCGUCAGAAAAAAAAAAGAAGGCAUAAUUUCAAUAAAUUUCUCUAAGAUUUUUUAUAAUUUCAUUGAACUCUUUAGAGAUUUUAAAAUUUAUACUAAUCUCUUUUAUCCAUUUGAAGGGGGAGGAAGAGGAGGGAGGAGGAAGAGGGUCAUCAAUCUUGGAGGGCCAAGUAAUUUCUGGUAGGUCCUCAUGAAGUGGGUUAAUGUCGUAUUGGUCCUCCAAACUAGAUAAGUGCCUCAAUCAAAUCCCCUCGAGUUAGAAAGUCCCAAAUAAUUUCUCCAAACCACAAAUUUAGUUCACGCUUGGUCUCCGUCAAAUCAACGGCGGUUGACCUCUGUUAAGUCAUGAAAAGGGGCUUUCUUGGAAUUUAAACCAUUUAAGGGAUCUAUUCGAUAAUUUAGCACACAAUAGUUUUUGUUUCCCCCAUGGGCUUUGAGGAUGAUUUGAUGCAAAUGAAUGCCUAUAAUGGCAAAUAUAAAGCUUAUGUGGUAAUCUUUUCUACUGCCAGCUUUGGGGAUGAUUUCAUUCGUUUCCUUUUCAUGUUUCCUAUGUAUGAGAUGCAGCUGCAGGUACUUGAUGGUAUUAUAAUCAUAUUAGGCCUUGUGUAGCUGCAUGAACUAUGGAUAGGACAAAAGCAUAAACUUUAGAUGGAUGAGGUAUCGAUAUGAAUUAGGACUUUAUAGGAAUAAAUUACAAGAAUUUGUUCCAAGACCAUGAAAGCAAAUGCUAAUCUUAGAGCUUUUAAUGAGCCCAAUCGAUUCAGACUUUGUCUGGGGUAUAUUAUACGAAUAAGAUUUGAAUUCGACUCAGUCUUUAUUCGUAUAUCAUACGAACAGAGUUUGAAUUUGACUCGAAUAUUAAAUGAACUAUAAGUAUUGCUCUUCGAUUCAUUUAUUUGUAUAAAUAUUCGAAUUCGAAUUCGAACCGGAUUUGAGUUUGAAGAUGAUAUAAUUAUAUUUUUAAUAAAUAAUAUAUUAUUUAGAAUAAGUUUAAUUUGUAUUUUUUGAUUUUAAAAAAUAAAUAAAGCUAAUUUAUGUAUAAUUACUUUUUAAAAAUAAAUAAUGUAUUUAUUUUUUUAUAAUUAUAUAUGUGUUCAUGAAUUAUUCGAAUUGUUCGCAAACAUGUUUAUGUUUGAUUUGAUUAUUAAACAAGCCUAAUAUUGUAUACUUGAGCUUGAUUCAUUUAUUAAACGAUCGAGUUUUAUUGAACUUGAGCGAGGCAAACACAAACAUUUUUGCAAACUGCAUAGUUCGUUAAAAGCUCAAGGCCUAAUCUGUUCGAAUGGAAGUCCCAGCUUUAGGUACACAAUUGAGAAUUUCUCACUUUUAGGGCCUUGACAUAAGAAUCUUACCUCCGGAGGAGGAGCAAGAUGACAUUAAGCCUCAAGAGGUUGAGCCAAAAUUGGUCAAGUGAUUGGGCUGUCCGCUUAUUUAAUAAACAAAUACAUUCAUUAUAAUUUGUUACUAGCUCCCUCAUUUUCUUUUGGAAAAAAAAAAAAAAACCCCUAAUUGUUGAAAUCUGCUUCUUUGUAUUGUUAAUACUUUUCAAAUUUGUAACAAAAGUAGAAUCUUAAAAUUAUUAAAAUUUUAUAACAUGAAAUUGAUUGUAAUGUACCUAACCCGAAUUCAACUCGUUUUACUGGUUUAUAAGUUUAACUACCCCCUUCCCCUCUCUCAUUUCCAUCUAAUCAUUGAGAAAAAUCUUAUUUAAUGUUUCAAGUGUUUAUCAUUCUUGGCAUGAUUUGCACUAAAUAAAGAACCAAAAAAAAAAGGGAAAAAAGGCUCAGAAACUAAAUCUAUUUUAUUAGUAAUAAUAGUAAAAAAAGAAAAGAAAAGGCUACAUUGGCUGAAAUUUAAUUUGUAGGACUUAAAUUAGAUAAAAAAUUAGAAAUCCAUUUGAAUUGCCAUUUUUAAAAAUUUUUGUAAAAAAAUAUAUUAUAGUGAUUUGAUAUAUAUAAAGGAAAAAUUGAUUGAAAAAUGUGUUAACAAGAAUGUAAAUUUUUUUUUUUGCGGAAAAUUACAAUACAAACAAUUUUUCUUUUCCAAACAGGCCAGGCCCUAAAACCCUCCUCUUGCCCCUCCCUUAGUUAAGCAGUUAAACCACGGCUAUCGUUGCCAAAAACCCUGCGAAUAUUUUACUACCAGAGAAGAAAGAAAGGGUGAAGAUGACGGGAUUUUGGAGAAACAAGUUUUACUAUCAAAUCUCAUUCUCCAUAAUCAACAAUGCCCCCAUGAAAACCAUCCCACUUUCUCCUUCUUCAAUUCGAACUCUUUUCACUCACUCGAAUCCCACAAAAUAUCUAAACCCCCAUUCGAACCCUUCUAAGUUAAAGAAUGCUUUUGUAUUUAACUUGAUUUCGCGGAAUUAUUCGCAUUCCUCGUCAUCCAUGCCUGCCCAUCCAUUUUUUGCCUCCAGACGAAGCCCUGGCUUUGCUGUAGCUAAAUGCUUAUCCUCGGUUUCGUCGUCGCCGAAUACCGUGGGCUGGAACGACGCCGUUUCCUGCUCGGAAAUUGGGGAUGGUGGGGCAAGUGAAGCUGAAGUUACGACUUUGUCGGAGGUGGAUGAUGAUGAUGAUGCAAUUGCUGGUUCUAUUCCAGUUAGGGCUUAUUUCUACUCCACUAGGUUUGAUUUUCCAUUUUUUUUUUAAAGUUUCACUUUUUUCUUCUCAUCUUUUCGAAAUUGGGAAGGAAAAGAUCCUUUUUUUUUCUUUUUAUCCUGGCAAUUGUUAAUUGUAUGGAGAUUGUAUGUGUGAACUUUAUUAAUGAUUAAAGGUGAUCAAUAUGAUGAAUUUUUUUUGCGAGCUGUUUUAGUCUUUCUUUUUAUUCUAUAAAAGAUACUCCUACCGAAUUUAGUACAAAGAAACAAUUUUGACACUUGUUUUGCACCCGUCAAAUUCAAAAUGAAAAUGGAAAAACAAAAUUUGAGCUUACAAUAUGUAUAUAUUGCAAGUUCCUAGUAAUGUUUGUCAAUAUUUAGGCACUUAUGAUUAAAUUUUUUUUUCCGACCGUUGGUUAGCUUCCAUUGGGGUGAUAAGCCUUUGUGCUCUGUGGAAAGUAUGAAUGUUUGUUAUGAUGAUUUUUUUUUUUUUGCAGUGUGGACUUAAGGGGCUUAAUGGAUCAAAACAAACCGAAUUUAAUUCCACCCUCAUCUCGUAUGACUAAUUAUGUCGUCUUAAGAUUUGGCAAGCGCAAGUCCGAGCCCAAUGUAAGUUUCUCUUCUAUCUCAUCUCUCCUUUGACAUUCACUAGUUGAACCAACUUUAGGCGGUAAUUUUUGGGAAAAAAAAAGUUGACUGUGGCUAAUGCAUUUUGAAUCUUUGGUUUGACUGCAAAUGUUAAUAAUUCAACGUCCAAAGAAGUAUCAUAUUUCAGCGACUAAUUUUUAUUUAAAUUCUCGUGUUUGUUAUGUAUGAUUGCUGGAAGUCUAUUGACUCGUUAAAUCAUUAAUCUUUAAUGUAAGCAAGCUGAUGUGAGUGAGCCAGUGUGCUGACACUUUCAGAUAAAUUUAUGCCAUGUACUUGUCAUGUUUCCUUUUCUUUUACUGGAAAGAUUCAAUUUAUUUAGGACCCUGUCCAUCCUAUCACCAGGUUCUGUGUACUGUUGGAAUGUGAAUAUAUAUAUAUAUAUAUAUAUAUAUAUAUAUAUAUAUAUUUGUCAAAUGUUGGAAUGUGAAUAUUUGAUUGAUCUUGAUGCAGCUUCUAGCUUGUCUUAUUUGUCUCAACUUAGAUGGUUUUAUAUUACCAAGAACACUGACAACAUGUUUCUAUCAAUGCGUUAAGUUCAAAAUACUUUUUCAUGAUAAUUUUUUUAUACUUAUUCAUUUGUAAAAUACAUUGAUCUUGUCUAAUGUGUUUAUGCAUUCCAUGUAUUUUUCUUAUUUUAUUUUAUUUUAAACAUAUUCUGUAUUAUGUGUUUAUAAUAAGCUUCCUGUCAUUCUCAUGCUCCUAAAAUUUGUCAUGUUGUCAGCAACUUCUAACUAUGUAUUGAAGCGUGCGAGGAUAUGAUUAACAUCAUACGAAAGUAAGGGAGGUCAAUGUGAUUUCAGAAACUUAGCAGGGGAUAUCUGUAAUUGCAAGUAAUUCAAGACAGGCAAAUGCAGAUUUUCCUUUUCUAAUUGAAUUACAUGUUUUCACUGAAACUAGGAGCUGGCAUAAGAGUAGUUCAGAUGUAUUCCAUCAUCUAGAUAAAAUUUAUGAUUCUUGUGCAUUUUCAGAGUAGUUGAUUAAUUCACGCAGCAGCAAAUGUUUUAAAAAAUCCUUAUGUUUGUUGUAGUUAGUUGUUCUGCGAUAUAUAUACAUAUAUAUUUUUUCUGAUUUUCUGUAUUUCCCCCCUUUUCCCUCAGGCUCUGGGUGCUAGUUUAAUUGGAAGUGACUGCUCGUACAUGGUUGUUUUUCACUAUGGCUCAAUUGUCCUUUUUAAUGUUCGGGAUCAUGAAAUUGAGGGAUAUUUGAACAUCGUAGAAAAACAUGCUUCUGGAAUGCUCCCUGACAUGAAAAGAGAUGGUAAGCUUGGGUACAAACAGUUAUACUUGGGACUUCUUUAAUAUGUAAAAUUUGGAACUGAUGAACCCAGGAUCACAUUUCUGUUAUUUAUAAUGAUAUUGUGACAAGAUAUGUAUUGGAAAAUCUGUUUUCGGCUAUUAAUGCUUUGAGCUAGGGUGAAAGAAUGCUCCAUAAAUGCAGUUUAAGUCUGUUGCUACUGUAAAUUAGAAUCUUUGUCUGUUACAAUGUCCAAGAAUAUCGUUGAAACAGUUAUUUAUAUGCUUUUCACUUCAGAAGCAUUGGUAGGAGAUAUGUCUUUGCUCUUGUUCUUCUGUUCAAAUUUUUUCAAGACAGCGAAUUAGCGUGUUGAACUGUGUAGUGAAAGCUUUUUAACAACCUUUGAUUACUCACAGCUUUUUGGUCUGACUUUUUUCCUUUUGACACUUUCAAAUUAGAAUAUGAGGUCAGAGAAAAGCCAACUCUGAACACUUGGAUGCAAGGGGGUUUGGAUUACAUAAUGUUGCAAUAUUUAAAUAUUGAUGGGAUUCGUACCAUUGGCAGUGUUCUUGGUCAAAGUAUUGCCCUUGAUUACUAUGUUCGCCAGGUUGGUGUCCCCUCAAAUUUUUGUUCUACCACUUCGUGAAAAUAUUGCUCAGUUAAGGGCAUUUAAGCUGUAUUGUGUGUUUUUAGGUUGAUGGAAUGGUUGCAGAAUUUACUGACAUUAAUCGUGGAAUGGAGAAAACAGGCACAUUCAAGAUGGAACGAAAAAAGCUUUUCCAGCUAGUUGGAAAGGCCAAUUCCAAUCUUGCUGAUGUGAUUCUUAAACUUGGACUCUUUGAACGGUAAUAAUGUUGGUGCACCUUGGAAGAAAAUAUCUUUUCUUGGCUUGUCUUAGAGAUGCUUCAUAACUCUUAUUGUUGAAAAGUUAUUUGUCUUUUCUUGUAAAUAACAUCUUUUCCUUUGCCUGACACCCUGUCUUUUCUAUUUUCCUUCUUUCUGCUGCUUGGUUUCCCUUCUCUGAACUGUUAAAGGAUCAUCUGUCUGCUUUUUUUUUUUUAAUUUAAAAAUUUUUAAAUUUUUUAGUAUUACUAGCGCUAAUUUUUUCAAUGAGCCACAAUCUUGUUGCCAAAUCAAAUUCUUUGUUAAUAUUUUUAUUGUUGAAAAGACUUCUAGUUGUGUGGCAUUUUUAGCUAUUCAAGAAUCUUAUGGUUUCUAACAGACCUUGUUUCCUUCAGGUCAGACAUAGCGUGGAAGGAUGCUAAGUAUGCUCAAAUAUGGGAAUAUCUCAGGGAUGAAUUUGAAUUGACUCAGAGAUUUGCAAGCCUGGACUUUAAGUUGAAAUUUGUGGAGGUAAUUUUUUGUUGCGAAAAUGGCCUUUUGUAGUUCUGAUGGUUGUUUUUGACAUAUUGCCCUUUUCUUGCAGCAUAAUAUCCGUUUUCUCCAGGAGAUUCUUCAAAAUAGGAAGUCAGAUUUUCUGGAAUGGCUUAUCAUUAUACUUAUAGCUGCAGAAAUCCUCAUAUCUGUUUAUGAUAUUGCCCACAAAUCAGCAAUUACGUCUCUAUGACACCUCUAGGUUACAAUGGCGAAGGAAUCAUUCAUUUUUGCUAAUGCUGAUUGCCGGUCAGUUUUUGUGUAUAUCCUUUAGAUUAUGCUUCUAAUUUGAUAGGGAAAUUGAAAAGAGAAAGAAGAUCUUGAAAAUAUCAUUCUUUGUAAUUUUUCAAUGGAAAUUUGCUGCCCAGUCAUCGACAAUUAGAAUAGCGUGCAUUGCUAGUUCAAAAUAUCCCACGGAAUGUUUUCUCCAGUGCACGUCUUCGUUACAGAUCCCUCCAUAUAAGUUAUUUUGAUGAUUUAAUGAGUAUUCUUGCUUUGUACUGGUUGAUUUGCAUAUAAGUAUGCAGUGAAACUUGAUGUUUGUCUUGGAUUUGCAUUUUUCUUGGACAAUUUCUUUCUUUUAUCAAGUCAGUUAAAUGUAGAUUUUACCUCUUCUUCUAGUUUUAUUUUUGGCUGAGAAAUGUGGAAAAAAAUAAAAGGAGGGAGAAAAGGAAACCCUUGUUUAACGAGUGAAAGUGUCAUUGGCAUUUGGCAAUGGUACGUGUACACUCUCAUUCUAAAAAUGUACAAUGCAUAAGAGACUAUCUUGAUAUUUUCUUGCGUAUGGUCUCAACUCUCAAAACAUCUCGAGGGACUCAACUAGUAGUUCUGGAUUCUGGUUUGGCCAAAAUGGCCACGCAAGUUACUUGUGUCAGUUGAUGCACAAGAUAUGGGGUUUGUCAUCUGUAAUACAAAACUAAACCAUUUUAGUCGAUGAGUUUGUAUAUCCAACAUAUGUGAACCUGCCCGCUAUAAAGUCUGCUGAUUACCUACGCACUACAAAGUCUGUAGCUUACACUACCUUUGGGCUUUCUGUCUUCCAGUGACCAAAUACAAAUAGUUUGGUCAUUGUAAACAUAAAACAGGCUUUUGUCAAUUGAGAGAUUGUGCAUUAUGCGGACCUGAUGCCUCUGAUUCUUGCGGUUUCACUAUUUUUCUGUCACACGAUCCUUUAGACUUGUGCGCAUUUUCCCUCAUGAAUAGAGUAGGAAAUGAAACGAGUCAAUGACUUGCAAGAUUUGCAUCUAAACUUGUUAACGAUGUAGAAUAGAGCCUAGACUCUCCCUGUGGUUGGUUGAAAUAGUGCGGGUAGAUAUGGGGGCAGUGGCAAUACAAAUUGAUAAGGACAAGUUACUUCCUUACAAAGGGUUGUGUGUUUGAAUCUCACUGUCAAUGUAAGAACUGUGUUUGUAACUACUCAAACAUUUUGUUUACAAAAAAAAAAGUUCCUGUAAACGAUCUAUGGUUCCGAGAGCAUGCCAAAAUUGAAAAUAAUCUUUUGAUAAAGGGAACUUUAUUGAAGACUAAAUUGGCGAUCCAAAGAUAAAAGGAGCAAGGAAAUCCACUAAACAAGAAAAGAUUGUUGAAUUUCAAUUGGACUGGCAGUCCAACUUCAGAUUACAACCAUAACAAAUCAUAGACCAUCGUCUAUUUUUUGGAAACACAAUUCUCAAGAAGGAACCCGACUCCUAAACAUAACAAGACGAGACGAGACUGAUCAUUCCAGCAGCAGAACAUUAGCUUGAUCCCGUUGAUUUUAAGGCUUGAAGAAAGGAUAGAACUCGUAUCUAACGUUGCAAGUUGCACUAACAAAUUGAGCUCCUUUCCCAUCAAAGAGAUCGGAAAGAUCAUCAAUCCUUCCCUUAAUGCAAGUGCUACAAUUGGCAGGAGUCAAAUCCAAGGGGCACUGAACCAAUCCAUAGACGUACAGUAGUAAAUGCCCUUCAAUCUCAAUAAUCCCUUUAGCAAACAAAUUCUUUGAUGCAGAAGCCUCAUCAGACAAUCCGUACAAAAACUUCUGAAUUUGAGCCAGUGAUGAUAGAGGGCUGCUUACACGAAAUUCACUCCUUAUGAAAUACCCCGUACUUAAAGGGUAUCCAAAAUCGUUGAAGUUUGAGUAUUCCAGUGAACAAUAGUCGUACCAAAUGUUUGCUGCUAUAUGGUAUGGACAGAUUUGGCGAAUCACUUUUGCUGCCUCAAAAACACAGAUUUGACAGUCGGCCUUUGAGAUAUCUCCUCUACAGAGAGCUGAGCCAUAAACUGAGUCAUUUUUUGAUUUUUUUCCCGAUACAGAUAUGUACUUGUAUCCUGAUGCAGGAGUAUUAUAGUAAAGAUCGUUUAAAAGAAUGUUCAAGUUCCUGUCAUAGUCCCUGUUGGCUGUAAAGUUUUUAUAGGUGGUGCAUGUAUGGUAGAGAGGUUCAGCCCCAGCUGCGAUUUGGGCUAACAAAGCAAUGCAUAGAACAGCAAUGGUAAAGCUCAGUUUUUGGAAAUCCAUGUCAGAAGGAUCAAUGUUGUGGAGGUGGCUAUCUCCUCAGUCUUUUGCAGCAUUUAUAGCAAUGCCAAUACAUAUAUCGUCAGUGAUCAUUUCGAAGCUUUCCUAGUACCUUCCGAUCAAUGUUUCUUUUUGCCCAGGCUUUUUGUCCGUUGAGAAGAUUGCCUUCGCUGCAGGCUGACUUGCUUUUUUGAGUUCGUUGUAAAUUUUGGGGUUGUCUUGUACGAAGCUGUUCAGUAAAUAAGAUUCAAGAAAUUUAUCCUCACUCGGUUAACUUUUUCUUCGAUUAAGUUGUAAAAAAAAAAAUAAAAUUGAAUGGCACAGGCGAAAAGGGAGCAAUGAAAGAUCAAGGAAAGAGGGAGAGAAACAGAUUUUACAGGUUUCCACUUGUAGCAAUAUGAGAUGUAAUAUUGAAUAUCUUGGGUUAUUCGACAGCGAAGUAGAAGCUGCAAGGUCCUUAACCAUAAAUCAAACUCCUUGAGACUGAUUUUCUCACUCUGAAAUGAAAAAUAUAGUUUUUAUUGGGCUUCAUCCAACAAUAUUUCCAUUUUGUAUUUUUCCAGGGCAUAUGACAAAGCAGCUAUCAAAUGCAAUGGAAGGGAAGCAGUCACGAACUUUGAGCCUAGUGCCUAUGAGGGGAGAUCAGUGGAGCUGCCAAAGAUGGAGGUAUGCUGAUCGUAUACGUAUUUUGCUUUCUCUUCAUUCAACCCUUUCAUCACAUGAUUGAAAGGAGCAGGCUAUUGACGUGGUACGGUUUCUGUUCUUGACCCACAGAUGCAGGUAGAGGUGACAAUCUUGAUCUCAACCUGUGGAUUUCUCCAGCUUCAGAUGGGCAGAAGGAAAUUGGUGAUUCAAAAAGUUCCUGUGCCCAUUAUGCAGCUUCUGAUGACAAAAUGAUAAAGGUAUCUCUUCAUUGAAGUGAUUAGCAAUUGAAGUUCUUUUCUUUGUUGUUUAUACUUUAAUCUUAAGAUUUAUCCAGAAGAAAAGAUGAACUGCUUCCAAGCUUUUGGUAGUCUUACAAUCGUUGUAAGAGCCAUGAAAUCUUUUUCUACUGUUUUAGGAACUUCGAGAAAUUCUGGUACUCAGAUUAUCUUCUCCUAUUCCUUGGCCUCCUUAAAAAUACUUCGACAGGUGGAGAACUCCUUCAAUACUCCUGAAUAUCUACCAAUGGCAUCGCAAGAUUCUUCAGUUUGGACCCACACAUAUUCUGGUUUUGGUCCAAAGAAUGAGGUAAUUCUUUACUAACAUGAUGUCCGUGAACAGUUUUUCAUUAUACCAUAUAGGAGCUAUUUCUAACUUUCAAACUUCAGAAAAUUUAAUCUCUUAUAUAUAUAUAAAGUUGAAAAGUAAAUUUUGUGUUGUUUUACCAAUCAGUUCAAAUGCAUCUUCAAUUGUUAUUUUAUUGAACUACUUUCAGAAGAGUGAAUGGUCCUCAUGCUUCUCCAUUUUUCUUGAAGUAAAGGCUUGACUUUAGACGAUUCUUUUUCUUUCAACUUUUUAUGAUUCUGGGUUGUGGUCAAGAUGAAAACAAAACAAAGAGAUAAAUCUGGUUUAUCUUCAUAAACGUGAUGUUAAGACAUGAAAAUCCAUUUGACAGGAAAGAGCAAGGAAAAUGAGGCCUGAAGGCAUUCCGAUACCAGGAUUAUCAAACUGGCCAUGGAAAAUGCAUUGCCAUGGUGUGAUCACCUCGGUGCCUUUGUUUCCUUCUGCAGCAUCAUCAGGAUUCUCCACAGUGACUGCCACUUCAACCACGCUUGUGUCAACGAAUGCCCCAAAUAAGAUUGUCCACACCUCUGCCUUCCAGCACCCUCCUUUGACCCUUAAUUACAAUUAGCAAGCAUCAUCAUGAAGUACAACCUCUUUGAACAACGUUUGUUGGGGCUUGGAAUUCAGCUGGCAAAGGAAUCCACUCUGUUCAGUGCGGGGUUUCAUUUCUUCUAUGAUUCAUGCAUAUAUGAUAGAAACAAAGAUAUUUUGAACAUAUACAAUGGGGUAUAGGUUAGUGCAAAAUUGUGUAGAAUUGCUGCCAUGAGAAUUGUUGUAUAGCCAUUCACACUGUUUGGAACGUGGAAGUGCUCCACUGACUGCAAAGAAGCACGGCUUCUCUUGAGCAAAGAACUCAAGCUGGUUCAGUCCUGCUUGACCUAUACAAUGUUACCUAUACUACAAAUGGAAACUUGAGGUAUGCCAAAGCUCAUACUUCUAACUGGUGGUUUAAAGUCACUCUUUUAACUGCAAAAUGAAACUCGUGGUUUUUGCUCAGCCUGGUUUUGCACGGUGUUGUUUUACCGUUGCUCUAGAGAGUUUUCUUGAAUUUGUUGUGGUGAAGAUUCAUCAUGGAGUAUACGAAGAAAUAGCAACCGACACAGAUCCUCCAGAACUCAGGAAUUUGAGGGAUGGGGCUACUUUAAACUUCCAUCAGCUAUUAAACACUUCAGCAUCCAAUUCUUUUGCAUCCAAACAGAAAGAAUGCCAAAUAACAGAAGCUCCGUAUUACAUCAAGGUCCUAAAUCAAUUGUGCACCAAUGAAUUGCUGUGGAAUGUGUGGGAAAUUUCAUCAUCAAAAAAAUCAGUCGUUAAUUGCUUCCGGCGCCUUCAACAAUAUUUGAAAGAAAUAAAAAAAAAAAAUAAACGCUGCUGCAGAUAAGAGAUUGGGCAGUUCUAAGUGCAAUUGCAAGCCCCACUCCAAUGCUUCACGCAUUUUUUUUUCCCAGAGUAAUCCUUCAGCAGUUUUGCUGUGCUCAAGCAGGCUACUGAGAGCUUGUCUACCCCCAAUGCAAUAAGGAACCUUUAGGCUUUAUUUGAUUAGUAGUAGGAAAGUUGCGCAGGAAGCGAAGUAUAUAUAUAUAUAUAAAGAGAAAAUCACUUUCUUGUGUAUUAUGUUUGUUUGAUAGGAGAAAUUUUGAUAGAAAAUGGAUGGUUAGCGGCACUAUAUUGUAAAUAUCAACAAUUUUCCUCCAAAAUCCUGCAGAUUUUGCAGGACAAUAAAUGCAGAAGAGUGAAGAAACAUUGCCUAACUUUCCUUGUAUUAAAACAAAAAAAAAAAGAGUAACUUUCUUUCACUUUUCCAUCCUGUUCACUGCAAACAAACACAAACUUAGGCUUUCAGCAUGAUUGAUUAUCUUUAAUGUACAGAAACCAUGAUCCAUUGGGUGUUUUAUGAUAAACAGGUAGGACCUAAAAUUUGGGUUAACUGUUUGCAAUUGUAAUCAUGGUAGUAAAAAAUCAUAUUUUAAGGGCUUGUCUAUCAAUGGAGAGCAAAGAAUGGCCACUGACUACAGUGACCUUUCUCCUUUUCUCCAUGGCAUUGGCACAUGCUUAGAUUAUAUUCUCAUUCGCGCCCGUCCCCUUCUAAGGUCAACCAAGAUCAAUGUAUUGAAAAACAAUGCUUGUGUCAUAUGCAUUUAAAAGAAAAGUAAUGAACUGUCUCCCCCUUUUUGUGUGUGAAACAAUGAUCAGUAGCUGCAUUUGGACGGAGGAUUUGACAAAGAAUUUGAAAACCUCUCAAAUCUUUUUUAUUGUUUACAUUAUUUAAGAGGCACUCAGAUUCAUAAAUCGACAAUUAUUCUAGUAUUUUUAAAAUAUAUUUAGAUAAUUGAUGAAUUAUAAAACUAAAUGUACUUUUACUGAUCCAAACAACUAAAGCAAUUUUGGUAAAUUUCAAAUCUCUCAUUUUCAUCCUAGGGAGUAAUAUAUCAUAUGUUUAGGAAGUACAGAAAGAUGAAAUGACAUGGGAAUUAAUCACACGCAGACCAGUCUGAUAAAGAAAAUGUAGUGUCACAGCAGCCUUAUACUGAAGGCAAAGCCUCCAAUUUAAUUAUGUUGAGAUCAGGCAGUUGCUUCUUAUUAGGCGUAGUAGAGCUUGUUACAUGAUCUUGCAAACAUAUGCCUUGAGGAUGAAGAGCAUGGCUCAUCCCAAUUCCAUGUGAUUCAAGGGAUCCGAAGAGCUCAGCACUGAGAUUAAAACAAGCGGACAAAGAUUAAAACAAUUCAUUCUGAUAACUUCUAACAAGAAAGACUGAUCAUUUGGCAGUAGAAUUUACCGCGAUACGCUUUUUUAACGCUGCUAAAAACUCCUUUGGAUCAGCUUUUGUCACUUUAUAAGCCUCAAUCUUAUCAAUUUCCUGUUGCAGAAGCAAGUUAAAUAGGUAAUAACCAACUAAACUGCUUCCAGUCCCAACAACAAAAAAAAUGCAAUGAACCCUUGAAGAUGUACUCUUCUCCUAACCAAGGGAUUGUACAGAAUUUCACUUUCAGAUCAAGGAUAUCAUAUCAGCAUGAAAUUCAAAAGCAACUAUGUGUAUGAAUGCAAGUGGAAAGAUUCUAUCUCCAAGCAUGCCCCAAUUUCUUUAUGGUAUAGUCAUUUCAUUCAUGCCUACUUGGAGGAUCAUUAACAUACUUAACUACAAACAGGAGCUGCAUGUAAAUAAUGCUUCCAGUUUAUUCCUGAUAAUUUUGUACAUAAUUUUGCAUGGGGAAAAGUCUAAGAAAUUCUGUGAUUACUCAAUCCAAGCUGCCAGUUUUGGCCUGCCCUCUGUAACAUCGUACUUCUUCACAUCCGACGCGAAGAGUUGGAACCUUUCAACAAAGGGCGCAUAAGCUACAUCCACCUGAAUUUGCGCAGAGAAAAGAUGAAUCAACCUAUGCUUCUUCAAGAUAACAUAAAUACAACUUCAUAUCCUAUCAUAAUGCUUGACGGAAGAACUUCAUUAACAAGGUAUAUGUGAACAAAUAGAAGUUCCCAAUUUUGCUCUUACAAGACUGAAAGUUCCGAGGAAGAAGGGACCAUCAUCGAAUUUGCCAAGGGCAUUCUCGAGGUAAUCAAAGCAGCACCUGAUCAAAUAAUGCACUUUAGCAUCAAAGUUUACAGGAAUUAGCAGCCAAAAUACAUGAUCACUUACCAACUUCACCGAUUCCAUCUGCUCUGAAGAAGAAAAUCCAGCUCCAUUAAAGGAGUCGGAGUAGGACAACAAAUGUUCUGCAAACUCUCUCUUAGCGGGGUCCUACAUAUUUGGUCAGAGAAUCAAAUACACCUGUUAAGAGCAGCCAACUUAGCUCACCAAAUUUAACUAGAAAAUUGUUUAUGAAUCUUACGUUAGGAAGAAGUGAAGGACCUUCAAAGUUUUCAUCGAGAUAUUUGAUUAGAUCAAGAGACUCUCCUUUGACUUCAUUAUUAUGUACCAGAGCUGGCACCUGCUUGAUAAUGAGCAUAAGAAAAACCCAUGUGAUUGAUACAAAGUAAUACAUGUAAUAAUUGGCUGCUGAAAUGAGAAAUGAAACUUUCAUCUCAAUUUCAAAUAUUAGGUUACAGCAGUUGGUUAUCAAGAAAUCUAUACAUAUCAGUCCACAGGAAUUAUUUAUAAACCAAUUGAAAUUUCCAGGCUGACGCAAGCAGCCAUGGCUCCUCAAACAGUACAAAAGUUUCUGGCUGGUUUUUGUGAACAUUUAGCAUGAGUCUGAUAUUGCCGCAGAAAUUAGCAUCAGAGAUCUCACACAACAUGGUGAAAUUAAAUAAUACCCAACCUUGUUUGCUGGGUAAACUUUCUCCUUGUACCAGGCUGGCCUAUUCUCUAGGUCCAUAGCGAUCAAUUUUAUUUUAUCUUGCAAUCCCUGCAAACGCAAAUCAGAAAUUACAAAUCUGAUUAUUAGAUCAAGCAGAAUCACCACCAAAGAAGUCCCCAACAAACCUUAUAAUUCCUUGUGAUCCACACACGUUGUGCAUACGGGCAUAUGUAGGCUGUGAACAACCUAAUAUCAAGAAAUGAAAUAUCGUAGUGUCAAAAUAUUAUCAUACUCAAACGAACAAUAGUCACUGUAAGAUUUCCAUGUUGUGAUCCAAAAAUUUUGGAAAUGACCAAAAAUUUCGGUUUCUUCCAGUUCGAUGCACAUAUUGUUGAGAUUUUAUCCAUGUCCCUCGUUGAUUCUCAGUUCAUGUGUAGGCAGGUUAAUAACUUUUUGAUCUAAAUCACUGGGCCAAAAUGCUUAAUCCAACUUUACUAAUAUCCUUGAUCAAUCCGAUGUAAGAUGCAGGCCACUUGCAUUAAAAUGAACCAAACUGAGACAAAGUCAAUAAAACAAGAAAAAGCGGUGCCAUUGAUGAUUCUCUUGGGAUUAAGCACUCACUUGGUGGUUCCGUCAAAGAUGUCAGGAGGUGGUUCUGAGGAAGAAUCAAGCGAAGGUGGAAGCACCUCUUUGACACUACGAAAACAAAACAUACCCAAAUCAGUAACAAGAUCCAAAAUUAAACACACCGAAGCAUUCAAGAUAAAGAAGAAACAGUGAACAAACAAAAGUUGGGAUUUAAUUACCCAGAAGCCAUUGCUGAAGCUGACAGCGAAGAUAUUCCGAAAACUUUUUAUCUUGCAAAGGAAGAAUUGGAUGGUGGUAGCAGUAGCAGUAGUACAAGGAUUCUUAUAUUGCCAUGAUGAUUGCUUAAUUUCAAAGUGGCCACAUAACAUUCAUAUUUUUCACGUGUGUUUGCAUCCCAAAAUCGUGCUUUGACUACUUGAAAUGCGGACUGUGUUGCAAAUCUUCGGAUCUGAACAACUGAUAGCCAUCCAUUAAGUGAUAGACCAUCUGGUCUUGGGGUUCAUCCGGAACUCCAAGUCUAGUGGUCGAAUCCCACUUAACUCCGGGUGCGUUUGGGGUGGCGGUGUACUUGGGUGCAAAGGAUUAGUCGGGCCGCCUUCGGGUCUUGACCCGAACACCCCUGUAUUGACAAAAAAAAAAGAUAGCCAUCCAUUAAGAAUUUAAGAUGUAGGUCAGGUAUUAAAUUUUUUAAAGAAAAAAAAUUAAUUAAGAAAAGUAUAUAUAGAUAUAAAAUAAAACAAUAAUAAUUAGUGUGUGCAUUCAAUAAUUAAAGACCCUACUUUCUCUUCAUUAAAGAAAAAGGCCAACUCCUGUAUGUAGGUUGGUAAGGUUGGUAUCUCUUUUUUCUUUUUUUUUUUUGACAAAUUAUUGGCUAAAAUACUUUUUAAAAAAUUCUCAAAUUUUGGUACUAUUUUGGGAUUUUUUUAGUGUUACUUAUUGAAAUUUUUUUUGCACAAAAAUUAAUUAUUUUUUUAACCGACUCAAAAAGCAUGCAUGUAAUUUUUUUCAUGUAGUGGUACGCAAAAAUCGUGAAGUCAAAGGAGAUUGGUAACAUAUUACAAAGUUGCUAGCUGAAAAAUAAACUCUUGAAUAGUAGAUGGACACAAGAACAAAGAACACAUUGGAGAGACCUUGGAUACAUACAUUUUUUUUUUGUUUGCUUUAAUUUCCUUAGCUACACAUACAUUUAUGUGUGUGUACGUACAUAUCUACAUAAUCUCAAGUCCCAAAAAAAAAAAAAAAAAAAAAGGAAAACACCUUCUUGUACAUUUCCCGACGUUAGGAUAAUGAUAAUUUUGUCUAAAGUUCUAAUACGUAGAAAUAUAAUAGAGGCAAUUUCGAAACAUUUGUAAUUUGUAACAAUCAAACAUAAAUUUUGACCAAUGAGGGGGUAAGGUGCUCAAAAUUAAACAUUAGAGGGUAAAGUAGUUUUGAGAGCAAGCAUUAAGAGCAUUUACUGCCAUAGUUUUUACAAGAAAUCUAUUUCCAGGAUUGCUAUCCAUGCAACCAAAGUGAGAACUAAGUGAUUAUUUGGAGGAGGGAUGAAUUGGGUGAUUUUGAGGAAUGGAGUGUAAGUUUCGGGUUUCGGGUUUCGAGACCUUCUACUUAUGCUAAAAAAAAAGUGAUUUAUUAUAUUAUCAUUUGUGUUUCCAUCAGUAACAAUCGCAAAUUUGGCUGGCAUAGGAAUCGAAUCCGCAGACAGGUCUUGCCUGAUGACUUGGUCUCCAAGAAGAAUUUUAACAAUUUGCAAAUUUAAUUCAGUUGGUGAUUCUUGCUGUUUGAGGUAUCUUGAGAAAAGAAUUCAACAGCUGUUAAGUGCUGCUGCUACGUGUAAGCAUCAUGCUCCCAAACUCAAAGCAUCUAUUGCCAAACCCAAACCCAAACCCAUUUUUAUGUAGUAGAUCCGAAUUCGAUCCGUAUGUCCGACGGGUCUUGACCUUUGAGUCUCGGAACUAGGUCCAGGUUUACCAGAAAAGAAAAAGUUCAAAGUUAAACAUUUUAAAAUUAAAUCCAAAACCAAUCAUAAAUCCAAUAAAUCAAUUUACAAAGUCAUUACUAAAUUAUUAAUUUGGUAAAAGAAUGUAUGUAGAAAUAUUUAUAUUUUAUAAUUACUAAUAUAUUGUUCGGGUCCGGAUCGAAUAUUGGUCGGAAUCUUAUAUUCUGUAUCCGACCCCUUCUUUUUGUUAGAGUAAACAGGUCUGAGUCCGGGUAUCGGAAUUAUAUUUUUCAGCCCAAACCCGAAAAAAUUUAUCUGACCCGAGUCGGGUCUAGGUCCAAACCCGACCCAUUGACACGGUAAUGCUUCCAUUUGCCAUUACAUUGACGGACUUAAUAGUACUUCAAAACCUUAUUCAUGUUUCUUGCCAAGGACUAAUAUAUCAUGCUACGGUCAAAUGCACAAGAAGAUAAAAGGACACAGUAAAUUCUCUACAGACCAGCCGGAUAACGAAAAUACAGGUGUUACAACCUUAAACUGAAUACAAAAAGUAUAGAUGUUAAAUAUAACAAUAAUAUGUCUAUUGACUUGAGACAGUUACUCUUGUGACAGGCGCUUGAGAUGUGAUCCAGCAACAUGCUUAUGCCUUGAUGAUGAAGAGUGUAAUUAUCCCAAUUCCAUGCGAGAUCAAGGGAUCCGAAGAGCUCAGAACAGAGCCUAGAUACGAUUAUAAAGGUCAAAGAAAUUCAUCCUGAGGAACUUCUAGCAAAGGUUGAAUCUGUAACAAAACAGAAAUCAUUUGCUAGCAGAAUUUACCUUAAAACGUCUUUUCAGAGUUGCUAAAAGCUUGUCAGGAUCAAACUUUGUCGCUGUAUAAGCCUUAAUCUUAUUAACUUCCUGUAAGAGUGAAACGAGUAGGUAACAAACAACUCAAGUGCUUCCAGUCCCAAGGAAAAUGCAAUGAGCUCUAAAGUAUGUACUCCUCUCUUAACCAAAGUGAUGUGUCAACAAUAGUGCAAAAUAUCACAUUCAGAUCAUGGAUGCCAUGAUCGGUAUGGAAUUCAAAAAAAAAAUGAUACGUAUGAAGAUUAUUCUGUCCAAUAUGCCGAACUGUUUUGUGAGACCAAGUCAUUUCACUACAUGCUUGGAGGAUCAUUAAGAAUUGAAGGACUUAGAUGACAAAUUAAGAUCUGCACUUGAACAAUGCUUCCAGUUUCUCCCUUAAAAUUUUCUAAAUGAUUUUUGUAAGGGAGACUGCUAGUAGAUUCUUUGAGUACCUCAAUCCAUGCUGCUAGUUUUGGCCUGCCCUCUGUAAUAUCAUACUUCUUGAAAUCCAAUAGGAAUGGUUGGAACAUUUCAAUGUGUGGAGCAAAAACCAUAUCCACCUGAGUUCUUCAGGAUAUGAAUCCAACUUAUAGCGAAUCCAAACAUCAUUCUGAUUUCUUUUUUCAUAUCCCUUUCCGAAUGCUUGAAAGAAGGACUUCAUUCAAACACGAUCUACGUGAAAUUAAAAAAACUAUAGGGGUCCAUUGCACUUACCAGACUGAAUUGUCCAAGGAAAAAGGGACCAUCAUCAAAUUUGCCAAGGGCAUCCUCAAGGUAAUCAAAAGCAGCACCUGAUCAAAUCACCUACUUGAGUAUCAAAUAUGACAGGAACUAGUAGCCAAAAAGCCAUGAGCAUUCAACUUACCAGUUUUACCUGCUCCAUUUGCCAUGAAAGAAGAAAUUACACCUCCAUAGAAAGAGUUGGAGUAGGAAAGCAACUUUUCAGCGAACGCUUUCCUGGCAGGAUCCUGUAUAUUUAGUUAAGAGGACUUGGAACACAAGCUAUCGAAAAAUGCAGAUAAAAAGCCGCAAAUUUGCUCACUGAAAUUUAACAGAAAGAUGUUACUGUUAACAGGUAUCUUGGGAGGAAAACAUCUAGUCACAUAUUAUGAGUGACCAACUAGUAUUUAUAGGAGUACAAACCUAACGACUAUUUACAAGAAUACCCUUACUAAUUUAUUAUCUAUAAGAAUACUAUAUUCUCCUAACACUCCCCCUCAAGUUGGAGCAUAUAUAUCAUAAGCACCCAACUUGUUACAAAUGUAUUUCACCCUAGAGCCCCCUAAACUCUUGGUAAAUACAUCAGCCAAUUGAUCUACAGACGGUACAUGAGAUGUCUUGAUGACCCCGUCAAGCAAUUUCUCUCGAAUGAAAUGACAAUCAACUUCAAUAUGUUUUGUCCUUUCAUGAAACACUGGAUUAGACGCAAUAUGAACAGCCGCCUGAUUAUCACACACUAAAUUCAUAGGCUGUUUAUGCUCAAACCCAAGUUCCAGUAACAUGCUCUUCACCAAACCAACUCACACACAGUGUGAGCCAUAGCGCGGUAUUCAGAUUCUGCACUUGAUCUGGAUACAACUGUUUGCUUCUUACUCUUCCACGACACUAAAUUACCACCAACAAACACACAAUAUCCUGUAGUCGAUCUUCGAUCUGAGGCAGAACCAGCCCAAUCUGCAUCACUAUAUCCUUCAAUAUCAGUGUGUCCAUGAUUUUGAUACAGCAACCCUUUUCCAGGAGCACUCUUAAGAUACCUGAGAAUCCGUAUAACAGCAUCCCAAUGACUAGUACGAGGGGUAUCAAGAAAUUGACUCACAACACUCACUGCAAACGAAAUGUCAGGUCUCGUUACAGUGAGAUAAUUUAAUUUACCCACAAGUCUUCGAUAUUGCUUAGGAUCAUCAAGUAAUGCACCUUGAUCUCCUGCUAAUUUCACAUUGGGAUCCAUAGGAGUAUCCACAGGUCGGCAACCUAACAUCCCAACUUCACUCAACAUAUCGAGUACAUAUUUUCUUUGACAUAAAUAAAUCCCAUAUUUAGACCGAGCUACCUCAAUACCCAGAAAAUACUGUAGAUGACCUAAAUCCUUUGUCUGAAAGUUUGCCUGCAGAUUGGAUUUAAGUUUCUGGAUCCCCACAACAUCAUCACCUGUAAUCACAAUGUCAUCCACAUAAACAACUAAUAAAAUUUUACCAGCAUUAGAAUGCCGAUAAAAUACAGAGUGAUCUACUCCACAUCUUGUCAGACCGAACUCCAUGACAACACUACUAAACCGGCCAAACCAAGCCCUCGGAGACUGUUUCAAUCCAUAUAAGGAUUUUUUCAAACGACAAACCAACCGCGGAUUCUCCCCCUGAACAACAAAUCCAGGAGGUUGUUCCAUAUAUACCUCUUCUUCCAAAUCUCCAUGCAGAAAUGCAUUUUUCACAUCCAACUGAUGCAAUGGCCAAUUAUAAGUUGCUGCCAAAGAGAUAAGAAGACGACAGAGGUAAUCUUUGCAACAGGAGAAAAUGUUUCUAAGUAGUCUACUCCAUACACCUGAGUAAAUCCUCUAGCUACCAGCCGAGCCUUCAAUCUAUCAAUAGAACCAUUAGGCUGCACUUUUAUAGUGUACACCCAUUUACAACCAACAACAGGCUUACCUGAAGGACGAGGGACAAGAUCCCAAGUACCAUUUUGUUCCAAAGCAGACAUCUCUUCUUGCAUAGCUAAUCUCCAACCAGGAUGAUUAAGAGCAUAGGUAAUAGACUUAGGAAUGGAGAUAGAAUCAAGAAGCAACAAAAGAAGAAUAUGACAUAGAGAGACGAGAAUAAGAAACAAAAUUAGAAAUAGGAUGGGAAGUACAAUGUCUCUUACCUUUGCGUAAAGCAAUAGGAAGAUCUAACUCAGAGGAGGGCGUCAUACCUGGAUUUGAAGAUUGAGAGUUAAUUGGUGAAGUGCGUGGCAUAUCAGGAACUUUCUCAACCAUGGAACGACGAGAGUAAACUUGAAGAUGAGGACGAGAUAAUCGAGCUAUGGAAUCUGGUGGACUAGACAACUCAGGUAAUAAAGGGGAAGGGACUGGUAAAACAGGAGAGGAAAAAGAGGGACACUGGUCUAAUUCACAAGACAUACUUUGCUUGAUAAAAUACGGAGUGGAUUCAAAGAAAGUAACAUCAGCACAAGUAAAAAAUCGAUUUAAAACUGGACUGUAACAUCUAUACCCUUUUUGCGCUCGUGCAUAUCCUAAGAAAAUACACUUAAUAGCACGAGAAUCUAAUUUAUCCACCCCGGAGCAAGCUGAUGAACAAAGCACACACAUCCAAAAAUACGAGGAGGCAAUUUAAACACAGGUUCAUGAGGAAAAAGAAUGGAGUGAGGUAAUUGACCUCCAAGAAUAUUAGAUGGCAUGCGAUUAAUUAAAUAACAUGCAGUUAGAACUGCAUCACUCCAAAAUUGUUUGGGCACAUUCAUGUGCAACAACAGUGUUCGAGCAAUUUCGAUUAAAUGCCCAAUUUUUCUUUCAGCAACUCCAUUCUGUUGUGGAGUGUGAGGACAAGAGGACUGAUGAAUAAUACCAGACUUAGUCAUAAAGGUAUUAAAAGGAGUGGAAAAAUAUUCUUUCGCAUUAUCACUGCGAAGUAUACGUACAGGCACACCAAAUUGAUUCUUUAUUUCUGUAACAAAUGCACAAAAAAUGGAAUAUAAUUCUGAACGAUCUUUCAUUAAAUAAAGCCAUGUAACUCUGGAAAAAUCAUCAACAAAGACUACAAAAUAUUUAAAACCUAACUUUGAAGUGACUCGACUAGGACCCCAAACAUCAGAAUGAACUAACAAAAAGGGUUCAGAAACCCGUUUAUUGACUCUAGGAGCAAAAGAAACACGAUGAUGCUUUCCUAACUGACAAGACUCACAUUCUAACGAAGAUAAUUGAUUCAAAGUAGGAACCAACUUUUUCAAAUUUUGUAAAGACGGAUGACCUAAACGACAGUGAAUUUCAAGAGGAGAAACAGUAGCAGGACAUGCUAUCGGACCAUUGAAGUUGAGAAAUAAAGACCAUUAUGCUCAUGCCCUCCACCAAUCGUCCUCUUUGUCUUCAAAUCCUGAAUGACAACAGAAUCAGGAGAAAAAGUAACUGUACACUGUAGAAAUUUAGUGAGCUUACUAACAGACAUUAGAUUAAAUGGCAAAUUGGGUACGUAAAGAACAGAAGACAGCGGAAGUGAUGGAUUAAUUUCUACAGUGCCUAGUCCUUUAACUUUAGUGGUAGAUCCAUCAGCUAAAGUAACAUGAAGAAAGGAGUAGACUCUUGAAAAUUAGAAAAAAUUUUAGAGGUACCUGACAUAUGAUCAGUAGCCCGGAGUCAAUAAUCCAUGAGUCAUUACCUUUUUGUGCUAAAGAAGCAGAGGGAAGAGAUGCGUGAUUUGUAGCUGUACGUAAGAAUUUAACAUAAUCUUCCUCGGAUAUAGUAACAGUUUUCUGGACCCAUGUGCUGAAGAACUUGAUUCAACUUGAUCAGUGGUAACCCAUUAGCAAAACUUUCAACCAUAGCGAAUAGCACUUCAAACAAAACAGCAAUCAAAAUUCGCGAUGAACAGUGCGCCGUGAACAGUGCGUCGUGAUAGUACCGCGUAACAGUGCGCGAUGAACUGUACGCGCGAUGAUGAACAGUGCGAGUGAACAGUGCGCGAUGAACAGUAUCGCGUCAAGACUUUUGCUAGAUAUUUAACCCUAACCCUAGGACUUUUGCUCUGAUACCAUGUUAACAGGUAUCUUGGAGGAAAACAUCUAGUCACAUAUUAUGAGUGACCAACUAGUAUUUAUAGGAGUACAAACCUAACCGACUAUUUACAAGAAUACCCUUACUAAUUAUUAUCUAUAAGAAUACUAAUAUCUCCUAACAGUUACCAAUCUUACAUCAGGAAGAACUGAAGGACCUUCAAAGUUUUCCUCGAAAUAGUUGAUUAUUUCAAUAGAGCCUCCUUUAACUUGAUUGUUGUCGGCACCUGCUUUGAUAAUAGAGCAUAAAAAGCUCCAAAGUAUAAAAUUAACUACGUGCAAUGAUUAGUAGCUGAAAAUAGACAUAAUCUCAAAUUUGAGUAAUAGGUACAGUUUGUUAUCAAGAAUUUGUCCAGAUCAGUAAAUAAGUUCCCGAAACAAGGAAAAAAAAAAGUUCAGGCCAGUUUUUGUGGAUAUUAACAUGAGAUUGAUAUUGUUGUGGAGUAUUAUUAGCAUAGCGCAAGUAAAUAUCUAACCCCGUUUGCUGGGUAAAGCUUCUGCUGGUACCAGGCUGGCCAACUCUCUAGGUCAAUAGCAAUCAGUUUUACCCUAUAUUGCAAUCCCUGCUCCAGAAAAGAAUAUAAAAUGCAAUUCAGGAAAUUCAGAAAGCUGAUAGAUUAGACCAAGCAGAAUUAUUAGGGUCAACAAGAACUCCUUGACAAACCUUGUAAUUCCUUGCGAUCCAUGCUGCUUUUGCAAACGGGCAUAGGUAAGCGACGAGCAACCCAAAAUCAAGAAACGAUACAUUUUUGAGUAUCAAAAUAUUAAGCUUGAAUGGACAAUAGUUAAUGAAGAUUUUCGUGUUGUGAUUUCUGAACCGUAAAUAUUCCAACCAACCAAAUUAUCCAUUUCUUUCAGUCCCGGUGGCAUAAUGUUAAACUUGUAAAACUUGUUUUUCUCAUAUGAAAUAGUAUGACUUAAAGCCAACACGACCUUGUAAAAUGAGCCACAGUCGGCAUCUCAAUGCAAAAUUCUUGAUCCGCAUCUCAAGCUCAACUAGGACCAUAGAUGCCUUGAUUUCCAAUUCCAAGCAUAUAUAAUAGCAUAUCCGAGAUGAGAAGUGUCACCGUGUCCCACACCCAAACAAAAGUAUUGAUCUACUAUUGGACCGUUGUCCCGUUUACCUUAAAAAUCAAGUUAUUCCCUAACCUCAAGCAUUAGAGUCGGUAUCAAACCAUCAAAGCGAGGGCCAAUGUUGUUGGGAUGUAUCUAGACAAGGAACUGCACGAACUGAAUGAUUUGCAGAGCUAAGUGGCUUAAACACUACAGCCAUGUAAAGGCCUCCUAGAAUCUCCAGCUCGAGUUACAUAAAUAACGAGACAAGUCCGGAUCACGGGCCUAGCUUCGUGAGGGUGCAAAGUCCCAAAAGGGUGGUCAAUCUCUCCACCCCCGGUCCUAAAGAUGCAGGGCCAUUGCAAGGAAAACGCUGAAAAGAACCAAAUUGAAAGAAAGUAAAUCCCAACGAAUAAAAGCUGGUGAUAUUGGUUCUACGUUUUGAUUAAGAACUUUCUUGGAGGUUCUAUCAAAGAUGUCAGCAGGUGGUUUUGAGGAAGAAGUAACUAGUAAGAGCAGGUGGAGGCACCUCUUUCACACUUUGAAGACAAAACGUGUCAGAAUCGUAACAAAUCCAAAAUCGACAACAGCAGAGUAUCCAACAUAAAGAAGAAACAUGGAACAGGCAAAGUAUCGAUUUAAGUACCCAGAAGCCAUUGCUGAAGCUGAUUGUGAAGAAACUCUGAAACUUUGUUUAGACAGUGAAGAUUUGGACGGUAUAGGAAUGGGAUUCUGGACAUGGUAUAAAUAGAAAACAGCAGAUGAAAGUUCGAGGCGUUGAAUCAGGAGGGAAUGAAGUUAUUCGAAUACAAAUAUUACGUGUGCACUGAUAAUUGAUGUUGGAAACUUUUCAAAAUUUGUGUGACGUACAUACAUGUAAUUUUAAUGUAUAUUCAUUCAUGUUUUGAUACAUGUAUAGUAUUGUGAAUGUUUCUAAAAUGUACAUUUAUCUAUGAAUGUGUUCAUGUAUAUGGGAAUCCUUGAAUGAAAGGAUAGAUUCAUGAUUUAAUCUUAAGAUCAUGAGAUGCAUGAAUUAAAGUACAUGAAUUUGUACACAAUACUUUGAAUCUAUUCAUACAAGUAUUUAAUGAGUUCCUUUGUUUCUUAAACAAUCUUCCUAUAUAAAGAGGUCAAGUAGAGAGUGGUUUGCUGCAGAAAAUCACUUUCCUACUAUUGUAUACUCUCUCAAAAGCACUCCUUAGUUCAAAAGGGUUGUAUUGCACAAAGAGUGUAAGACAAACAAACUUCAUCUUAUCCUAAAGGAUAUUUAUCCAAUGUUUUUGCACGUUAUACUGGACAAAUAAAGCCUAAAGAAAAGUGAUUUUCGAUCACGAUUUGAAGCCAAUUCUUGUCACAACAUUUGCCAGUUCGUUGCAAUUAUUCCCAACAAUUGAUAACGUCCAAGUUGGCCAUAUUAUUAUUCAUGACAAGGGCAGCUAUUCAAAAGCUAGCAGGCUCUUUUACUUUUAUCCAACACAAGCUGGGAUAGGUGAUAAGUCCAAUUUAGCACCUGAAAUCUAUGGAAGUAUCUAAAUUGAGCCCCAUUCAUGAAUCUAAAUUUUGUUAUAUUGAGCCCUCGUAACCAUUUCUUGUUAUAUAUUUUCAAUUUGCAGUACUUUAGAUGUCAAAAAUUGCUUCCUUUCUAUUGCUCUAUUUUAUGAAAUUGUCUUAGUUUGACUUUAGGUAUAAGGAGUGAAAUCUGAAAAUUAUACAACUCAAGAAAAGAGCUAACUCUAUUUUCUAGAAGGCGCAUUUCGUAGUUCUUUUCUUUCUAGAACACAUAAGAGGUCAAGAAAUUUGCCAUAAACUAACAUAUUGGGUCCAUUUUCAAAGUCAAGAUAUUUGCCAUAAAUAGCAUAUUGGGUCCGUUUUCAAAGUCGCGUAAUCGAACACUACAAAUUCAUAGACGUCUGCCUUCCAGUUCCAGCACCUCAUGACUUUUUAGUUACAACAAUGAGCAAAGCAUCAUCAAAUUUGAGGUUCGGAAACUUGUGGGUUUUGGGGUGGUGGACUUGGAAGUCAGCUGCCAAAGGAAGCAACUCAGCUCAGUUGCAGGGUUUUAUUUCUGUCAUUCAUGCAUGUACUAAUAGAAAGAUGACAUUUUUAAACGUAUACUUUGGUUACAGAUAUGUCUCGUACCGAGACAAACUGCGAUAGCAGUCUAAGAAGGCGGAGCUGCACCAUAUCAGGCGGAUUGCAUUGCCUGGUUCUAAUUCUUCAGGCUUCUGGUGUUUCUUGUUCCUACUUCAAGAAAGUCCAGUUACAUAGGAUUUAACCUUCGAGCAUGAACCAUCCUCAACCUAAAAGGGAAAAAACAUUACCUGUUGGUUUUUUUCAUGAUAACCGGUCUAGAUUUUUGGGCCAGUCGCUACCAAUUGUAAUCAAACUAGCAAAAACGUUACGAGUUGACAGGGAAAUUGAGUAGUGAUCAUUGCUUCGUCAGAAAAGGACGCAACAGUUUCUCUUUCAAGCGCUGCUCGUACAUGUAAACUCUUUACUGCUAAAGCACUAUUCCCAUUACAUCUUAUUAUUUCAUUUUUUGACUCGAAAAACUCGAAUCUUGAUCACAUUCCGGACAUAUGGUCUACUGGCAAUAGAUAGAAAUUGACACCUCCAAUUACUCACAAAAUUUUUGUGGCACUUCUAACAUUAGUAAGAAAUAAUUAUGAGGCUUUAGAAACAAGAAUAAGGAGAUGCUUCCAUUACAUUGAAGAUGUUGCAGUAGUUGAAAACCUUAUAAAAGUAUUGUCAAGGUGUAGCAUAGCUCAUCAUGGAAACACACAACGAUGAAAGAGCAUAAAAGUUGAAUGUAGACCAGUCUGAUGAGAAAAAGUAGUAUUACAACCUUAAACUGAAUGCAAGACAAAGUUGUAUUACAACCUUAAAAUGGAGGCAAAGCUGCCAACAGUACAGAAUGUAGAUGCAAUAACGUUUAUUGACAUCAAACACUUAGAAAGCAAAGCCGCAAAACAACACAGAAUGUAGACAUAAACAAAGUUUAUUU
rnacentral:lncRNA from 1 species